rnacentral:lncRNA from 1 species
GGUAGAGAGAGGUGAGGUGUCACUCCAGGAGAGGACUCAGGCCGUGGGGUAGGGUCAGGACAGGAAGCGCCCCUUUCCAGAUGACGGAGGGCAGUCGAGCAGCAGACGUCCGCCGAGACCUCCACGAUCACGUUCUCAGGGUCGUGGAUCUUCGGGGCGUCAGCGUUUCAGGGGAUCCCGUCAGUAGGGGCAAACUGAGAGGACUCCACAGUGUGUGAUCUGCGGGGGACCACACUGGCCCCGGCAGUGCGAGCAGAGAGAGGGCAGGUGCUACGGAUGUGGUCAGCCGGGACACAUGAGGGUAGCUUGUCCCCGAGUAGCAUCUCCAGCACCAUCAUCAGCUUCAGCCCCAUCAGCACCCCAGCAGUCUUACGGAGCAGCACCGAGUUACCGCCAGGAGUAUAGAUCGUCGACGCCUCGUCAGGGUGAGCGGCGACAGCAGGCUCCGAGUGGCAGAGUCUACGCAGCUCAGGUGGAGGACUCUACAGCAGCCGACCGAGUAGUGGCAGGUAUCACUUUGAUUUUCGGCAUUCGUACUCGUACUCUUGUUGAUACUGGAGCCUCGCAUUCUUUUGUUAGCCGAGCAUUUGUAUUGUUGCAUGGUCUAGAGUUAGGGGCAUUGUCACAGGCACGAGAGGUGCAGAUCCCGGACUAUGUUUUACAGGUUGCAGAGUGUUGUUGGUCGUGUCCGGUGCAGUUGGAUUCGUGGGUCAUGCCCGCAGACCUGUUGGUGCUAGGGCAGCUGCAGGACUUCGACGUUGUGCUCGGUAUGGAUUGGCUGGCGCGGUGCUAUGCUACUAUUGAUUGUGGAGCGAGGACAGUGACGUUCCGUGAGCCAGGCCAGGAGGAGUUCACUUUCAGAGGCUGCAGGAGCACGUUGUUUGCCACCUGGAUAUCUUCGGCGAGGGCUCGACAGCUGAUGAGUAGAGGAUGUGUGGCCUUUCUGGCGACUGUUGUUGAGGUACCUGUGGCGGCACCAGGACUCGAGGAUAUUCCUGUAGUCCGCGAGUUUCCGGAUAUGUUUUCUCAUGAGUUGACUUUGUUGCCGCCGGAGAGAGAGAUUGAGUUUGUGAUUAAUGUAGUUCCUGGAACUGCACCAAUCUCAAAGGUACCUUAUCGGAUGGCACCGGCUGAGCUGAGAGAGCUAAAGGCGCAGCUUCAAGAUCUGAUGGAUAAGGGGUAUGUGAGACCCAGUGUAUCACCUUGGGGAGCACCGGUGUUAUUUGUAAAGAAGAAAGAUGGUUCGCUCAGGUUAUGUGUUGAUUACCGGGAGCUGAAUAAAGUGACCAUCAAGAACAAGUACCUCUGCCGCGCAUUGAUGAUCUGUUCAAUCAGCUGCAAGGAUCUUGUGUCUUUUCGAAGAUUGAUCUCUAGUCAGGUUACCACCAGUUGAGGGUGAGGGCCGAGGAUGUUCCCAAGACGGCAUUUCGGACUCGGUACGAGCAUUAUGAGUUCACGGUGAUGCCUUUUGGAUUGACGAAUGCCCCUGCCGCAUUCAUGGAUUUGAUGAACAGAGUGUUAAAGCCGUUUUUGGAUAGAUUUGUUGUAGUCUUCAUCGACGACAUCUUGAUUUACUCCCGGAGUGAUGUUGAGCAUGAGGAGCACUUGAGGAUUGUGCUAUAGCUUCUGCGAGAGAAGAAGUUGUAUGCCAAGUUGAAGAAGUGCGAGUUCUGGCUACGGGAGGUUGCUUUCUUGGACCACGUGAUUUCAGCAGAGGGCGUAGCAGUGGACCCGAAGAAGAUUGAUACUAUUCGGGAUUGGCCUAGACCGACGAUGGUGACUGAGGUGCGGAGCUUUCUGGGACUGGCAGGGUAUUACCGUCGGUUUGUGGAAGGCUUUGCGAAGCUUUCCACACCCCUCACACGCUUGACGCGGAAGGGGAUUCGUUUUGUCUGGAGCGACGACUGUCAGAGGAGCUUUGACGAGUUUAGACUGAGGUUGACGUCAGCUCCUAUCCUUACCCUUCCGGUGAUGGGGGAUGGAUUAGUGAUCUACAUUGAUGCAUCGCACAGUGGACUUGGUUGCCUACUGAUGCAGCAUGGUGGGGUGAUUGCUUAUGCUUUACGACAGUUAAAGAAUUAUGAGAAGAAUUACCCUACGCAUGACUUGGAGCUUGCCGCGGUGGUUUUUGCUUUGAAGCUCUGGCGGCAUUACUUGUACGGCGAGCACUGUGAGGUCUUCACCGAUCAUAAAAGUCUCAAGUAUCUGUUCACACAGAGGGUGUUGAACCUGAGGCAGCGCCGAUGGUUGGAAUUACUGAAGGACUAUGACAUUAGUAUUCAGUAUCAUCCCGGCAGGGUGAAUGUUGUGGCAGAUGGUUGAGCAGGAAGUCAGUGUGUGACGCACUGGACCUUUGCAAAUUGCGAGGUUCGAGUGUUUGGGUAUACUUCGAGCUUUUCCACACUUGGUGGAGGAUUGUAGAAUGUUUUCCGACCUAAAAAGUUCGAAAAUCGGAAUUCUUGACAAGUCCUGAGAGUUUUCACUCUCGGGGACCGGUCCCUGGGAGGAGAGACCGGUCCCCCCAGUGAGCAGUGUUGAGGCAGCCUGAGGCAACCGGUCCCUGGCAGGCGAGACCGGUCCCCGAGCGCGUCUUCGCAGUGAGAGACCGGUCCCGCGCAGGGAGAGACCGGUUCCCGAACGCUGGUUUUUCGGGUUCGCAGCGAGAGACCGGUCCCUGCUGGGGAGAGACCGGUCCCUCUGGGCGAAAACUGUCCAGACCAGGCUGUUGCAAUAAUGAAUUUUUGAGGGGCCUCACUGGAUUUUGUUACAUUAGAUGGGCUUAUUAGCCAUUUCCUCCUCUUCCCUCUCUCAUUCUCUCAUUUUCACCCUCUCCCUACAUUUUCUAGAGACAGAAGAAGAAGAAGAAGGAGGAGAAGAAGAAGAGGAGCUAGUUUGAGGGAGCUUGGAGCUCAACCCCUUUCUCUCUUUCCCACCUUUGCAAGGCUUGGAGCUUGCUUGUAGAGCUUAGUGGUGGACCAAACUUCAACCCUAGGGCAUUUUGGGCUUGGAUUGAAGCUUCCAAAGGGUUAGUAUCAUGUUUCCCUCCUCUAGAUUCUUGUUUUUGUGAUUUUUGGGAGAUGAAACCCUAGAAAUGAGAUUUAGGGCUUAUUUUGGGCAUUUUUGAUCUAGGGCUUUUGGACCCAAAUCGAUUGGCUUAGAACCUUCCUAGGGCUUGGAUUGGAAGGGUUCUAGCUCUCUUUUGGAGCUUUGGGAGAGAUUUCUACUCUUGAGGUAAAUUUUGGCCCUUUUUGCUCCUAGGUUAAUGUUUGAUCUCUCGGAUGGUCGUAAUGCCCUCGUAUCUCUUCGCUGAUUACUUUUAGGGUAUUGUGAGACUCGUGGACAACUCCGUUCGGUGAUUCGAAGGAGCACGCGACGGUUCGGUGGGUUUGACCUAGCCUUCAUAUGAGAAAUACUCAUAUAUGAUGAAAUGGGUUUCGUAAAUUGAAAAAGCAUGCGUAAUCAUGUUAGAUAUAUUUAUUGUGAAUUUUAGGAUGUUUAAUAUGCCUAUGUUAUGUGUAAGGAAAUUUCGGACCCCUAUAUAGUAGAGAACUAGCAUGUGGUACUUGCACAUAUUUGGCAUCCUUUUUAGACUUGGAAUCAUAACUCCUAUUGUGAAAAUGAGCACCUCUUGCAUGCAUUUAGGGACUAUUCCUAUAUUGAACUUGAAGGUUCUUGGUAGGCCAUAAAGAGGCUCGGGGACUUGUGUUAUUGUGAAUAGUUGGGCUAAUGUCAUGAAGGGGCAUUGAGCUCGGGUCAUGUGUAAACCUAGUGGAUAGUGCCAUUGAAAGAGUUGGAUAUGCUUGUUCAUUAAAAUGUCUAAGUGUCAUAAAGGGGCACAAGACUUAGUAUAUUGGAACUUCAUAUUGUGAAUUAAACUAGAUCUUCGGGAUGCUAGUGACUAUACCAUGUUAGAGACAUGAGAUUGGAUACUUGAGACUUGGACUAUGCUUGCUUGCCAUUUGUGCUCAUUCGCACAUGCUUGUGAGGGUCGCUCCCUACAAGCCGGCACUCCGGAGUUAGCCUACGCGACUUUUGAUCGCUAGUGCGGUAUUGAGAAGCCUACGGGGUCGAGUGGGACAGACACAUUCCAAGAGUAGGAAUGUCGGGCUAUCACAGGCACUUAGGCGGCACAAGCUGGACUACCUUGGGUGGGUUCUUGAUUGGAAAUGGGAAUCGACACAGUGUUGAGAAUUAAUAAUCACUACUAGUUAGGUUUAGCAGUUGGAUUACUUUGACAUGCUCAUGAUAUAGCAUUGGUACAUGUAGCACACUUGCCGGUUUCUUUGUUGCAUUGUAGUAUACUCGGUUGCUUGGUUAGAGCUUACUCUUUAUGCAUUGGACAUAUUAUCUUAUGAUAGCGUAGAUGUACAUCACUAUGACAUCAUGUUUACUUGAGAUAUAACGGUUUAGCUCUUCAAUUAUGCUUUCGUAUUGUUGUUGCUAUUACUCUUAUUAUUGCUUAUAGUACUUACCCUUUUCUUUUGGGGCCUAGUGGUGCAUAGAGCUGAGGUCAGUAAUUGCCCACUGGGAACUAUAAAAUUAUAGUUCUCAUGCCCUCUUUUUCUCGAUGUUUUUCAAAGCCUUCCACUCAGGGUGAGGCCAGGGAUCGCGGGAAGGGAGUUGCUUCGAGCUAGCUUCCUACGAGGACGACUCGCUAGGUGGUCUACCUCUCGUUGUACUUUAUUUUGGAGAGGUUGAGAGUUUUACCAGUGUACUAGAGACCACCGUUUUUGUAUUAGAGGCUGAUAUUGUAUAACUUACGUUUACUCUUAUGUAUUAGUUAUGUUCUACUACUAUUAGUAUAGAUGUUAGAACCUUACUCGCUCUGAUAUCAUUAGUUGCUUGUUAUUUCACUUCUUCUACUUGUCUUACUACUUGCUUUUACUUCCGCUUUCAUUCUAGACGCCUUAUAUGUGUAGACAUAUGGCGGGUCUGGGCACGCUACCGGGAGGGCCUCCGCCGGUCCCGGGGCGUGACAGAUUAAUUUGGUAUCAGAGCCUAGGGUUGAGUCUUAGUGGACCUAGCGAACCUUAGGCCGGUUGGACUAUAGGAAUUAGGCUCGUGAGAGACGAGGUCUAAUUGACUUGUGAGCGAAAGUAUUAUGAUUGGGUUUAUGACAACUCUAAAAAGUUAGAGUUUGAUCGGAGUGUAUGGCUUCUAACUUCGCGGAGGGUUACGUUGGCGGCCGACAACGUAACAUCGGGAGUUAGUAGUGAAGGACACUUCCUUACUUUCGCAUGAUUUGGGAUUUUAUCUACUUGAGCGGGGAUGCGAUAGCGUGGGUUACUAACUUGCGCUUUUAUGUUCUGUAGUGACGAUGCCGAUUACUCGCUCCCAGUCUGCCGGGGCGGAUGAUGCGGCACACCCCGAGGAGGUCGAGACCUCCGCUACUUCCGGAUCUAGUGAGGUCCGUGACUUGAGGGCCCAGCUUGCGGUUCUCACUGACCUGUUGGCGCAGCAGACGGCAGCGGCGCAUCGACAGGCUGAGGUAGCUCAGCGGCAGGAGGCGCGGAUGAAGCAUCUUGAGGACCUCCUACUUCAGCAGGCGGCAGCAUCGAGGGAGACCCAGGGCCCUACACCGCAAGCACCCGUGGUGGACGUCGCACCGAGGGCGCAGUCCCCCGCGCCCAGCUCUUCACGUGCGGCACCGGCGACCGCACCUCAGGAGGAGGUGGUUGCGGCACUACCUGUUCAGAGACCGGCGACCGGGGCAGCAUUCCCCGUGAUGGCCGAAGGAGCCGAGCGGGAUCGACUCAUGGAGCGCCUCAGUGAGUUCAGGAGGUGCAGCCCGAGGAUGUUUGAUGGCGAGAAUAUCGACCACUGGAUCGUUGAGAAGUGGUUGAUGCACAUGGAGAAACUAUUUCGAGAUACCUUCGUUGAGGAGAGGGACAGGGUUUGGCUCGCCACUCACUUUCUUGACGGCGAGGCCUACCGUUGGUGGUUGGACAUCCAGGACAAUCCCAGCACUGACUUGACAGCGAUCACAUGGACGCGAUUCAAGGAGUUUCUUCUGGCGCACUACUUUCCUACUAGCGUCAAGAGGAAGAUGGAGCAGGACUUGCGUAGCUUGCGCCAGGAUGAGCGGUCCGUGGCCGAGUACGAGAGGGAGUUUUCUCGAUUACUCCAUUGUGUACCGUUUGUUGUGAGGGACGACGAGGACGAGGCCCGCAUCUUUGAGCGCGGUUUGCGGCCUUCUAUCUUCCGGUUGGUGCAGUCUUCCAACCUCCAGACCUACCGGGAGGUUGUGGAUCGAGCUUUGAUAGUGGAGGCAGGAGCGGCGGAUCUGCAGGAGCGUCGCGAGAGCUUGGAGAAAGGGAAGGGGAAGAGACCCGCGGCUGAGGGUGCGAGUCAGACGCACUCACGGAGGCCGCCGAGGCAUCCCAGGAGCAGGAGCCAGUCGCGAGGACGCGGCCAGUCUACCCAGCGAGGAGGACCCGAUCGUCGCCAGGCUCCCCGCUGCGUGAUCUGUGGCGGCCCUCAUUACCCACGACAGUGUACACGCAGCCGGGGCAGGUGCUUCUUGUGUGGCCAGGAGGGCCACUUCCAGUCGGACUGCCCGAGGAGUCCAUUGCCAGCGCCAUCUGCGGCAUCUGCACCAGCAUCGCCAGGUCCCAGCCAGGGGACAUCUUCUGCGCAUCACCAGGCAGGACGGCCGCCAGUUCUGCGACAGGCGGAGGGGUCACGACAGGCCCCGAGCGGGCGCAUGUAUGCGGCCCAGACUGAGGAGGCGGCAGCAGCCGAGAAUGUGGUCGCAGGUAUCAUUUUACUUUAUGGUAUUCGAGCUAGAGCUUUGUUUGAUACCGGUGCAUCGCACUCAUUUAUAGACCGGCUGUUUGCCGAGUUUCAUGGCAUCCCAUUUGUAUCUUUGUUACAUCCCGGCCGAGUCGUAGUACCCGAUUACUCUUUAGACAUUCGGGAGUUUUUCCCCAGUUGCCCUGUUAGGAUUGGAGAUUGAAUCAUGCCCGUGGACUUGCUAGCUUUGCACAAACUCGGGGAGUUUGAUGUUGUGUUGGGCAUGGAUUGGCUGACCAAGUACUUUGCCACCAUCGAUUGUAAGAAUCGAACGGUGACAUUUAGAGAGCCGGGGCAGGCGGAGGUUGUGUACCGAGGAUGCCAGAGUUCGCUGUUUGCGAUGACGAUUAGCUCCUCCCGAGCUAGGCAGUUGAUUAGUAGAGGCUGCGUAGCCUACUUGGCUACUGUUGUGUUGCGGGGAGAGGAUGACGCCCCUAGGAUUGAGGAUAUUCCCGUAGUACGGGAGUUUGGAGAUGUGUUUCCAGCGGAGCUACCAGGCAUGCCUCCUGAUAGGGAGAUUGAGUUUGUGGUAGAUCUCGUCCCCGGGACUACCCCGAUCUCAAAGGCACCCUAUAGAAUGGCACCAGCAGAGUUGAGGGAGCUGAAGGCACAGUUGCAGGACCUCCUGGAUAAGGGUUUUGUACGACCGAGUGUGUCACCUUGGGGGGCACCGGUUUUGUUUGUGAAGAAGAAGGAUGGAUCACUUCGCUUGUGCGUGGACUAUCGUGAACUUAACAAAGUCACGAUCAAGAACAAGUAUCCAUUACCGAGGAUUGAUGAUCUAUUUGAUUAGCUCCAGGGAUCUUGUGUAUAUUCCAAGAUUGACUUGCAGUCGGGAUAUCACCAGUUGAGGAUCAGACCUGAGGAUGUGUCGAAGACGGCUUUUAGAACACGGUAUGGACACUAUGAGUUUACCGUUAUGCCGUUUGGGCUUACUAAUGCCCCGGCAGCUUUUAUGGAUCUGAUGAACCGUGUUUUCAAGCCUUAUUUAGACAGAUUUGUCGUGGUGUUCAUCGACGACAUCUUAGUGUAUUCCCGGAGUGACUCGGAUCACGAGGAACACUUGAGACUUGUACUUCAAGUGCUUCGGGAAAAGAAGCUCUAUGCCAAGUUGAAAAAGUGUGAAUUUUGGCUUAGAGAGGUGGCGUUUUUGGGCCAUGUGAUUUCAGGAUCAGGCAUAGCCGUGGACCCGAGGAAAAUUGAAGCUAUCAAGGAUUGGCCGAGGCCGACGAGUGUGACCGAGAUACGGAGCUUCAUUGGUUUGGCCGGCUACUACCGACGGUUUGUCGAGGGAUUUGCGAAGUUAUCUACUCCCCUCACGAGACUCACGCAUAAGGGUACAAAGUUCAUUUGGAAUGAUGCGUGUGAAAGGAGCUUCCAAGAGUUGAAGCAGCGAUUGACGACCGCCCCGAUCCUAACCUUGCCGACCGCUGGAGCAGGGUAUGUGAUUUAUAGUGAUGCUUCCUUCAAUGGAUUGGGCUGUGUUUUGAUGCAGGACGGGAAGGUGAUCGUGUAUGCAUCUCGCCAAUUGAAGGAAUAUGAAAGAAACUAUCCUACCCAUGAUUUGGAGUUGGCGGCCGUAGUCUUUGCCUUGAAACUAUGGCGCCACUACUUAUACGGCGAGCGAUGUGAAUUAUAUACGGAUCACAAAAGCUUAAAGUAUCUAUUCACUCAGAAGGAGUUGAACUUGAGGCAGCACAGAUGGUUGGAGCUACUCAAGGAUUAUGAUUUGACGAUACUUUACCACCCGGGCAAGGCUAACGUGGUGGCGGAUGCGCUAAGUCGGAAAUCGACUAAGAACUUAGCGAUGCUUAUGGUUACUCAACCGCCGUUGAUUGAGUAGAUGAAGCGGUUGGAGUUGGAGGUGGUGGCUCCUGAUACACCUUUGAGACUGACGACUUUGGUGGUGCAACCUACACUUUUGGAUAGGAUUAAAGAAAAGCAAGCUUCCGACUCUAGAGUUGCAAAAGGUUCGAACUAAGAUGGUUGAUGGUCAGUCAGAGCGGACCAUACAGACUCUAGAGGACAUGCUGAGGGCAUGCGUCCUGGAUUUUGGAGGAGGGUGGUAUCGACAUGUGAGACUGGUUGAGUUUGCGUACAACAACAGCUAUCAAACGAGCAUUCAGAUGGCUCCGUUUGAGGCGUUGUAUGGACGCAGAUGUCGAUCCCCCCUGUUUUGGAGCAAUGUGGGUGAGCGGAGGACACUUGGACCGGAGAUUCUACUUGAGGCUGAGGAGAAGGUGAGAGUUGUUCGACGACACUUUCUGACAACCCAGAGCCGACAGAGGAGCUACGCCGAUACCAGGAGAUGAGACUUGGAGUUCCAGGUUGGAGAUCAUGUAUUCCUUAAAGUCUCGCCGUCCAGAGGGAUUCGCCGAUUUGCAGUACGGGGAAAGCUCAGUCCACGGUUUGUUGGCCCUUUCGAGGUAUUGGAGCGAGUGGGACCAGUAGCAUACAGGAUCGCUCUACCCCCGCGACUAGCUGGCAUUCACGAUGUCUUCCACGUCUCAGCAUUGAGGAGAUAUGUUUUCGAUCCCUCUCACGUGAUUGACUUCACUCCACUAGAUAUUGGCGAGGAUCUGAGAUACGAGGAGCGACCAUUGCGGAUUUUUGCUUAGGAGACGAAAGAAUUGCGCAAUCGGGUCAUCCCGUAUGUGAAAGUGCAGUGGAGCAAUCACGAGGAGCGGGAGGCGACUUGGGAGCUUGAGACGGUGAUGAGAGAGUCCUACCCCGAUCUGUUCGUAACUCCGUGUUGAGGUAUGUUUAAGUUUCGAGGACGAAACUUUUUGUAGUGGGGGAGGAUGUAGUAUCCUUGUUAUAUUUAUUAAGUAAUUAAUUUACUUAUUUAUUUUUAGGUCGGUUGGUGCUAAUUGAGGUGGCUUGGAUGCCACGUGCACCCAUGCAUGCUUAUCAUCAAAUCAGGUGGGCAUUGCCUAAUUUUUUUUACUUCUCUCUUUGUUCGACCGAAGCAAAGAGCUCGGUGGAGGUAGCCGCGAGCACGAGUUCGACGCCGACGACGCGUCGCGAAGCCAUUCGAGGGUACGGUUGGGAUCGUAGCGCUGCGAGGAAGCUAGGCGAGGGUGCGUUUUCGCCGUUCUCGACGCCGCGUCGAUGUCCGAUUAGCCUUUGAGGUGAGUGUUCCGUUGCAUUGCUUCAAGUAUUGUCAUUUCGAGCUUGGUGCUGAUUUGCAGAAUUUCCAGCGUCGACCGUUGGUAUUUCAGUUCGUACUCGGCGUAGGAGCGUCGAUUUUCGACGGGACUUGGUUCGUUGAAUUCGGGACUUCGAGAGAAAUCCACGAAGCCCUUACUUACUGGAUUUGGUAAAGGUUUGCUAGGUCGGAAUUUCGCUCCUCUCUAUUGCUGUUUUUGAGGUAGAAUUAAUGUUUAUUGUCGGAUUCUCCGUGUAGAGUUUGGCGGGAGCUUGACUUCGGGCCUUGGGAGGUUUUCGGACGUUUCGGCAGGUUGUUCCGCAGCCGAGGGGAGUUCCGUGCUGCAAGGGAUUAGCGAGCGAGGUGGGUUAAUCAUCGGUUUAUACUCCUAAGUGCUUAGUAGUCAACAUGUAUGAAUUUUAGAUUUUGUGCAGUUUACUUUAGCUCGAAUUCAUGGAUUAUUAUGUGAAUGGCUAAUCUGAAUUUGGAGCAUGUGAUAAUAAAUUAAAUAAAUAUACAUGUUGGACUUGGAACUUGACUUAGGAGAAAACAAGCGUUUUGGGACCUGUCACCUGUUUAAAUUACCUGAUUUAGCCCUAGGGGCCGUUGUAUUAAUUUAUACUGUUGCAGUAUCCGCAAAGUAAGUAUUCCAGGUAGUUUAGUUUUCAGUUACGCUCGUGCUGGAAUGCCGAGUGUUUUUUACUGUAGCGUUCAGGCUGUUCCGGAUUGUUGGGUGCCGUCGGGAUUGACGGUGGACCUGUAUCGCCUUUUUGGCGUUGGAUUGUGUCGAGGACACGACACCUGUUGGUUGUUAGACCAGUUUUAGUCGGUUACUGGACUUUGGCUUUUGAGAGCCUGAUUGAGCUCGACAGAGAUACGCUGCAUACUCGGUUGGGUAGCUCCCACGAGUGCCACUCCGGAGACGGGCUUUGUGCUUUCGCGUUGGUGUCGCUCAUGUCGGUUGGACUUGCUCUCCACGGACCAGUUAGUGUGGAGGUAGCUGGACAGUCACAACUGGGCAAGGACGGGUGUAUUCACAGUCCCAGGGACGGGUAGGUUUACAGUCCCGAUUGGAUUGGGUCAGAUUUGACAUUUCCUACAGUUGAUUAGUGUAGAGCAUGAUAGUGUAGUGAUUUAUAGCGGUAGAGUUAUUUCCUACUUUUUUCCUACUACCUUUGCUCCCUACUGUAGACUUAGUGCGUGGACCGAUAUUGUUUUGGGCGGCACCCAUUGAGGACUAUUUGUUUUUACAGUAGUUCUUACGCCCUGUUGUUACCCCUGUUUUGCAGAGCCACAGGUUUCGGCUGCUGCGCCUUCCGCGGAUCAGGAUCGAGGCAAGGGCGUCGCGAGUUAGAGCCCUACCCGCCGAGCAGAGCUAGAGGCACCCUACUGCAGGUAGUUGUUUUAUUUCGAGCUUAUGUACAUAGUACUUAACUCGCCAGUGCGAGUAACUCUGUAUUUUGAUUUUUGAACUAUGUAUAUGAAGCUCAGUUUGUUUAGCUUUUGUUUACUCUAGCAGCUCUAUACUACUGUUUGUAGUAUUGUAUGGUUUACAGGUACAGCUGUCACUUCGUAUACAGGAAAAAUUUCUUUGUAUAUGGCGGAUUUGUCGGCGUGCCCGGGGAACGUGUAAUCCGGGGCGUGACACCAAAUCCAAGAACACCCAACAAAUGAGCCACCUGAAAAUUUGAAUCACAUCAUCGAAAAGAAACUCGGUUUAGUGCAAAAUCAAAUAAUUUGACAACCAAAUUCAUUUGUUGAUGGAGAAAUUAUUUUAAAACUCAAAAUUAACAAAUUGAUAUGUAACCAUAUAUCCAAAAUGCCCAUAGCCAUGUCAUUAAUAUUACUCAAAAGAUAUGACUCAAAAAUUAUCUUAGCACCUUUCCGAAGGAUACGAGACAUGUGGUAAAUGCUAAUUUUUCACAAAUAAUGGCAUGAAUUUACAACUAGCUUUGAUACAUGUUACGUAACAACAAAAUAAGACCAUUAAUUUCUGGACUUCUGCAACAACAAAAAACCUGGCAACAAACUAAAAAUUACUAUAACAAGGUAAUCAAUAAAAACAAGAUGUUGAGAGGAAUAGUCCUAACUAAAUCCUAUAACAAUUAGAUCCUAUUAAGAGAUUUAAAAAGAAGGCUAGUACACAUGAACCACUAAUUGGCUGAUACUAGUUCAAUUCAAGAUGAGAGCUCCACCAUACAUGACUGUUUUACAAAGAGAAAAAGAGAUUAAUCUAAGCGAUAAUACAUCUAACUUAAUUCGAAGCCAGAGAAGCUGUAGCGAAGGUCAUGCAUUUAUCAAUGCCAAAUUCUUCUGUGAAACGAAGCAAUCAGAAUGAUACAAGCCAAGUAAGCACAAUGCAACUUGCCUAAAGGAGACAAUAUUUUAACAAAAUUAUGGUAGACCACUAUUACAGUUGUUAACAUCACUAAAGAAGCUGAAGAGCAUAAAACUGUCUCUGUUAGUACAUCGUACUUCAGCCUUCUCCAAGUAUCAACAAAAGUCAGCACACAUGUAGAGGAAAUAAGUACUUUGACAUAUUUUCACAAGAAUAUUAUUUGAUCUUUACCUUAUUGGCCCCUGCUGGAUCAGAAGACAAGUCCUUAGGCACUAUCGAAUUGGGGACCUCAAGAUCAUCAUCCUCUGUUAAGGAUUUGUAUGAUCCUUUGCAUUAUUGUUUGCUUUUGUUUAAGUAAAUUCAAUUCUCUCGCACUUAACCAUCUGGGAUGAUAAUUAGGGACCAUGAUAGCAACUAGUUGUUGAAUAUUUUGUGUAGAUGGUGAUGCACAAAAUCCACUAUUCUGUCCAUUUGCACCUGAGUAACCUUUAUGUGCCAAAAGAUCUUCAUCGUUGAUCACAUCAUUCACAUCCAUAAACUGGUCACAAACAUCUAAUCCUGCACUAGAAUAUUCUUGUAAAUAUGAAAUAAGAUUCUCAAGAUAUGGACGAGAGAUUACAAUAAGAAGGAAAAGCAAAAUGCCACUAUAAAGUUAAUCUGCAAGACACAAGGGAAAAUACCUGUAACAGACCAAAAUCGUUUAUUCAAAAAAAUGUGUAACUAUGUCUUUUCGAAGAUUGAUCUCCAGUCAGGUUACCACCAGCUGAGGGUAAGGGCCGAGGAGGUUCCCAAGACGGCUUUUCGGACUCGGUACGGGCAUUAUGAGUUUAUGGUGAUGCCUUUUGGAUUGACGAAUGCCCCUGCCGCAUUCAUGGAUUUGAUGAACAGAGUGUUCAAACCGUUCUUGGACAGGUUUGUGGUAGUCUUCAUCGACGAUAUCCUGAUUUACUCCCGGAGCGAUGCUGAGCAUUAGGAGCACUUGAGAAUUGUGCUACAGCUUCUGCGACAGAAGAAGUUGUAUGCCAAGUUGAAGAAAUGCGAGUUCUGGUUACGAGAGGUUGCUUUCUUGGGCCACGUGAUAUCAGCAGAGGGAGUAGCAGUGGACCUGAAGAAGAUUGAUGCUAUUCGGGGUUGGCCCAGACCGACGACGGUGACAGAGGUGAGGAGUUUUCUUGGAUUAGCAGGAUAUUACCGUCGGUUUGUGGAAAGCUUUGCGAAGCUUUCAACACCCCUCACUCGAUUGACGCGGAAGGGGAUUAGAUUCAUCUGGAGUGAGGAUUGUUAGAGGAGCUUUAAUGAGUUGAGACAGAGGUUGACGUCAGCUCCUAUCCUUGCCCUUCUUGUGAUGGGGGGAAGGAUUUGUGAUCUAUAGUGAUGCAUUGCACAGUGGACUGGGGUGUGUGUUGGUGCAGCAUGGUAGGGUAAUUGUUUAUGCUUCACGGCAAUUAAAGGAUUAUGAGAAGAAUUACCCUACGCAUGACUUGGAGCUUGCCGCGGUAGUCUUUGCUUUGAAGCUAUGGCGACAUUACUUGUACGGCGAGCACUGCGAGAUUUUCACGGAUCAUAAAAGUCUCAAGUAUCUGUUCACACAGAAGUAGCUGAACCUCAGGCAACGCCGGUGGUUAGAGUUACUGAAGGACUAUGACAUUAGUAUUCAGUAUCAUCCUGGUAGGGCGAAUGUAGUGGCAGAUGCGUUGAGCAGGAAGUUAGUGCAGAGCCUGAGUUUGAUGAUCACUGAGCAGAGGCCAUUACUCAGGAGUUCCAGUGGCUGAGGCUUGAGAUAGUGUCCCCUUGGUAUACUGCGAGACUGAUGUCUCUGGUCUUGCAGCCCACUCUGUUGGAUAGGAUCCGAGAGAAACAGAGUGGAGAUCCGUACUUGUCGAGGAUUCGAAAGCAGCUACAUAGGGGACAGGCUGAGGGUUUUACUGUGGACAGUUCGGGAGUACUACAGUACAGGGACCGACUGUGUGUGCCGGUGGAUUCAGGGAUCCGAGAGGACAUCUUGAGUGAGGCUCAUUGUUCUCCUUAUACGGUUCACCCUGGGGGAACCAAGAUGUAUAAGGACUUAAAGGAACAGUUUUGGUGGAAUGGAAUGAAGAGAGACAUUGGCAGAUAUGUGGCUCAGUGUUUGACUUGCCAACAGGUGAAGGCCGAGCAUCAGGUACUUGCUGGCAAGCUUCAGAGUCUGCCAGUGCCCGAGUGGAAGUGGGAGCAGAUUACGAUGGACUUUGUCGUGGGAUUGCCUAGAGCGCAGCUAUACCUGGAUGAGAUCGUCAGGUUGCACGGCGUGUCAAUAUCGAUUGUAUCAGAUCGAGACCCGAGGUUUGUGUCGCAUUUGUGGAGGAGUUUACAAGCAACUUUGGGGACUCAGUUACAUUUCAGCACUACUUUUCACCCACAGACAGAUGGUCAGGUAGAGCGGACCAUUCAGACUCUAGAGGACAUGCUGAGGGCAUGUGUCCUGGAUUUUGGAGGAGGGUGGUAUCGACAUUUGAGACUGGUUGAGUUUGCGUACAACAACAGCUAUCAAACGAGCAUCCAGAUGGCUUCGUUUGAGGCGUUGUGUGGACGCAGAUGUUGAUCCCCUUUGUUUUGGAGCAAUAUGGGUGAGAGGAGGACAUUGGGGCCUGAGAUUUUGCUGGAGGCUGAGGAAAAGGUGAGAGUCGUUCGACGACACCUUUUGACAGCUCAGAGCCGCCAGAGGAGCUAUGCCGAUACCAGGAGACGAGACUUAGAGUUUCAGGUUGGAGAUUAUGUUUUUCUCAAAGUCUCGCCGUCCAGAGGGAUUCGCCGAUUUGGAAUACGUGGAAAGCUCAGUCUACGAUUUGUUGGCCCUUUCGAGGUAUUGGAGCGAGUUGGACCAGUAGCCUACAGGAUUGCUCUACCACCCCGACUUGCUGGGAUUCAUGAUGUGUUCCACGUCUCGGCGUUGAGGAGAUAUGUUUUCGAUCCCUCUCACCUGAUUGACUUCACUCCACUAGAGAUUGGCGAGGAUCUGAGAUACGAGGAGCGACCAUUGCGGAUUCUUGCUCAGGAGACGAAAGAAUUGCGCAAUCGGGUCAUCCCGUAUGUGAAAGUGCAGUAGAGCAAACACGAGGAGCGGGAGGCGACUUGGGAGCCUGAGACGGUGAUGAGAGAGUCCUACCCCGACCUGUUCAUUACUCCGUGUUGAGGUAUGUUUAAGUUUCGAGGACGAAACUUUUUGUAGUGGGGGAGGAUGUAGUAUCCUUAUUUUAUUUAUUAAUUAAUUAAUGUACUUAAUUAUUUUAUGUCGGUUGGUGCAUGCAAAUUAAGGUGGCUUGGAUGCCACGUGCACCCAUGCAUGCUUAUCAACAAAUUAGGUGGGCAUUGCCUAAUUUGUUUACUUCUCUCUUUGUUCGACCGAAGCAAAGAGCUCGGUGGAGGUAGCCGCGAGCACGAGUUCGACGCCGACGACGCGCCGCGAAUCCGUUCGAGGGUACGGUUGGAAUCGUAGCGCUGCGAGGAAGCUAGGCGAGGGUGUGUUUUCGCCGUUCUCGACGCCGCGUCGAUGUCUGAUUAGCCUUUGAGGUGAGUGUUCCGUUGCAUUGCUUCAAGUAUUAUCAUUUCGAGCUUGGUGCUGAUUUGCAGAAUUUCCAGCGUUGACCGUCGGUAUUUCAGUUCGUGCUCGGCGUAGGAGCGUUGGGUUUUGACGGGACUUGGUUCGUUGGAUUCGGGACUUCGAGAGGAAUCCACAAAGCCCUUACUUGCUGGAUUUGGUAAAGGUUUGCUAGGUCGGAAUUUAACUCUUCUCUGUUGCUGUUUUUGGAGGCAGAAUUAAUAUUUAUUGUCGGAUUCUCCGUGUAGAGUUUAGCGGGAGCUUGACUUCGGGCCUUGGGAGGUUUUCAGACGUUUCGGCAGGUUGUUCCGCAGCCGAGGGGAGUUCCGUCUGCCAGGGAUUAGCGAUCGAGGUGGGUUACGUCGGUUUAUUCCUAAGUAUUAUAGUAGUCGACAUGUAUGCUUUCCUAUUUUUGUAAAUAAUGUGGUAGCUCAAUUUCGUCGAUUGUAUAAUGAAUGAAAUUAGCUUGAGGGCAUUACUUGUAACUAUAAAUAUACAUGUUGGACUUAGAAUUAAACUUAGGAGACAACCAGCGUUCGGGACCUGGCAUAUGUUAAACUACCUGAUUUAGCCUUGGGGCCGUUGUAUUAUUUUAUAUUGUUGCAGUAUUCUCAUAGUAAGUAUUCCAGAUAGUUUAGUUUUUAGUUACGCUUGUGCUGGGAUGCCGAGUGUAUUUUUACAGUAGCGUUCAGGCUGUUCCGGACUGUUGGGUGCCGUCGGAGUUGACGGUGUACUCGUAUCGCCUUUUUGGCGUUAGAUUGUGCCGAGGGCACGUUACCUGUUGGUUGUUAGACUAGUUAGAGUCGGUUACUUGACUUAGCCUGUGAGAGCGGUAUGAACAUGACAGAGAUACUUGUAAAUUCGUUGGGUCGCGCCCACGAAUGCUAUUCUGGAAUGAGGUUUCAGUGCGAUGAGUGUCGCAGUUUCUGUUGGAUAGUUCUUGAGCCGGCUACCCUCGGGGUGGUGUACGGCGUAGCUAGAUACAGGCAGGGUGGGUCCGUUUUGGGCAGCACGGGUGAGAUAGUGAGUGACGCUUUUCCCUACCUUUGGUGAGGUUGUGACGUGAGUGGAGUCUUAGCCGUCCUGUUGGACCUUUUCUGGAACCGACUACUCUUGUGAUAUGGUGUAGUCUAAUUAGGCGAGACGGGUGUAUUCACAGUCUUUACAGAGUUUUCUCCGCCGGUUACUCUUGAGAUACGGUGUAGUCUAGUAGACGAGACGGGUGUAUUCACAAUCUCUAGAGAGUCUUCUCCGCCGGUUACUCUCGAGCUAUGGUGUCACCUAAUUAGACGGGAUGGGUGUAUUCACAGUCCCUAGAGAGUUUUCUCCACCAGCUACUCCUGGAGUAGGUUACGGGUUCGAUCCGACAGGCGGGACGGGUGUGUUCACAGUCCCUAGUGAGAUUGAGUUAGUUGUGACUUUUACUACAGUUGGUUAGUGUAGAUCAUGCUAGUGUAGCGAUAUGUAGCGGUAGAUUUCUUUCCAGCUUUUCCUGCUAGCCUUGUUACCUUCUGUAGACUUAGUGGGUGGAUCGAUGAUUGUUGAGGGCGGUACCCACUGAGGACUACUUGUUUCUACAGUAGUUCUCACGCCCAGUUGUUACUCCGUUUUUGCAGAGUCUUCGUCUUCGGCUGCUGCUGUUGUUGGUCAGGAGCUAGGCAAGGGCGUCACGAGUUAGAGCCCUACCCGAGGAGCAGAGCUAGAGGCACCCCUACUGCAGGUAGAUGUUUUGGUUUGGGUUCAUGUACAUACAGACUUUUAACUCGCCAGCGCGAGUAGCUUUGUACUCUGGGAUUCAGUGUAUGUAUAUGGAACUCGGUUUCUUUUACUUUACUAGUUCUUCUAGCAGCUCUAUACUACUGUUUGUAGUAUUGUUGUUUUACAGGUACAGCUGUCGCUUCGUAUACAGGGGAAAUUCCUUUGCAUACGGCGGAUUUGUCGGCGUGCCCGGGGAACGUGUAAUCCGUGGCGUGACACUUCUAGUUCUUCGAUUGCUGUCGGGGAUACCGAGGAGGUUUCUUAGCAUUUGGCCGGCCCCCGGUGCUACCCGCUGCCUGCUUCUUUCCCUUGUCCCUUGCCUCUGCUGCGGACUCGCACUCCUCACGUUUGUGGGCAUAGCCAUGCUCCGCCCAUAAGACUCGAUCAAAGACCUCAGCAAAGGUCGUGAGCUUAAGGAUUUGCAUGGCCCUAUAGAUUCCCGGCCGAAGUCCUCGCAAGAACCAAUCGGCCCGGUCCCGGUCAUCACGAACAACCUCCGGGACGCAAUCGAUGAGGUGGGAGAACUCCUGUUCGCAGUCUGCUACCGAGCGAUCUCCCUGCCUCAACUUGCGGAAUUUUUCUUGCAAUUAACUUCCGCUUCACCGUGUCGAGGAAAUAAUUGGCGAACGCCGCCCUCCUGAACUCCCCCCACAACAUAGGCGGAAGAUUGGGAGAUCGAUCCCGCCUAACACACUUCCACUACACCUUCGCCGCCUUCUCAAGGCAAUGCGUGGCGAGGUACACCUUGUCCUUCUCCGAGGUAUGCAGGUCCUCGAAGAGCGUCUCUAUGGAGUCGAUCCAUGACUCCACAACCGCCGGUUCCACCACUCCCCCUUCGAAGAUAGGUGGGUUGAACUUGUUGAACUGUACGAGAGCCGCUAACGCACGCUCCCGUUCCGCCUCCUCCGCCGCACUAUCGGGGUUUGAAGCUCCCGAACCAGCCAACACCACUGUAAUAGGCACGGCUGCCGCCGCCACGCCCUCAGCCGCACUCGGCACCACUGCAGGGGGUAUAGGGUGCACGGCCUCCACGGGCGCUGCCGCUUGGCACUGAACGGACUCCGCUUGCUGCCGCACUACGCCAAUAAGCGAGGCCAUUUGCUCCCGAAGCUCCCCGUCGCUACCUGCUCCGGGUUGCACAGGAGCCGCACUCGAUUCCUCGGCCAUAGACCUCGUUCGCGGUCGACCACGAGGCAACUUAGGUUGUCCACGAGGAGGCAUUGCUUCUUGAAAUGAAGCAAUUCACAUUAGUCUCUUAGGAAACAUACUCGAUUAUACCCAAUCAGGCGAAAGCAUACAAGUGCAUUUAUUUUCAUUCCCAAGCAUCAUGUCGUUGGCCGCCGAUCACAACACAAGGAAAAGAAAACAAAUAUCAACUUAAAUUUAGUCCCUAACCAUAUUAGAGACAUAUUAACAUUAACCCAAUCAUAAGCUUUCGCUAUACUUUGUUCAACGUCACUCACGUUUCCUAGGUCCUUAAGGUCUUUCCAAUCCUAAAACUCUCUAGGUCCAUCUUAUACUUUCACUUUUUGGCUUUUACGCUCUGAUACCAUUUUAUCUGUCAUGCCCCGAACCUGGUCCUAUUUGGUAGAUUCGGACCCGUCAAACAGAUGCCGAACGGACAGAGUCUCCCCUGUCUGCCCAAGGCUCAACAUCCUGUACAAAUAGAGUAUGAAUUUUGCACAAAAUGGAAGCAUACACAAUGGCUUGCACGAGGGCAAGCAAUAGCCAAUAGUGAAAGUAAUAAACUACACUUAGGAAAUUAUUUACAUUUUUGCAUCAUUUCUUCUCUUUUACAUCACAUGAUCUCAAAAUAUAAGUUCUUGUAUUUAAAUAUAAAAUCUUUAACAACAUUCAUGUUUUUUUUCCUUUAACAUCUAUAGUCAUCAAAAUAUAAAAGAUGAUGUACAAGGGUAUGCAACUAAACCAAAAUAGUAAACCCACUCGGGAGGUCUCUAUCUAGGGCACGAUGCCCUUACCGCGGUCGUCCGUCAGCUCGCUCGGUCCCGGCUCUGUGAAAAUAGUGGGGUGAGAACUACAACAAAGUUCCUAGUGGGUUCGGCAACUGACCACGCCGACUUUCCCACUAGGUCUAAAUCAGGUAUAAUAGAAGAAUAGAUUAAUAGUAACCAAGCUAAAACAAAUGCAACUAAUAUAUCUGAACAAUAAAUAAUGCUAUGCUCAACAAAGUACUCAUGAUGAAUGCAAGGUCACUGCUCAGAACCCAAUCUCUAGGCUAUCCCGUAGGUUUCGCCCACAAUAGACUCACAAACUCAAAUUUCAAAAAUCGGAGAGACUACUACGCCUGAUGGGACCGUCCUCUGGGGAGGCUACUACGACCCAGUGAUGACAACUCCAGAGCACAUCGCCCGAGGGGGAGCUACUACCCUCGAACAAGGACUUACAGGUGAGUAUGAUCCAAUUCUUAACUAUAAGGAUGUCGAGUUCAAUCCAUUCCUUAACUAUAAGGAAGCCAUGCACUAGGACCCUUAACUCUAAGGUUGAAAUUGUCAUAAUGUCACUAUCACACUUUUACUUGUAUUCUUUACUUUCACUAGUGUCAUAUACACUACUAUGUUCUUGUACACAUGCCACACUUGUUUUAUAAGUGUUCCACUCUAGCAUUCUUGACUCGUCAAUGCCAUUCUCUACCUCUAUGUCAAUAAGUCACAUUUGUUUUCUAGUUCACUAAAGUUCUUGUCACUUGUCAUGCAUAAAUAGGGUUUAUAAAAUUCUCACAUUCUUGCUAGUAACUCACAUGCAUUUGUACUCACAACAUGCCAUAAGAAGCUCACAAUUACCCUACUAUGCAAUAUACUCAAAUACAUACAUAUGCUCAAAUAUGAUACUUUAGACAUAAAAGGAAUUCCGAGGUAUUCGGAAUGCACGACCCACCUUAGAUGGUUGUAGGAAUGCUACAAUGAAUUUCUUAGAAUUUUUGAAGCCCUACUUUAUCGCCUGCGGCAAAACGAAGCCAAAUUAGGUUUUUUCUCAAUAACUUUAUCUAGACCUUUUCAUAACGUCAAACGGAGUUAUCCCACACGUCGGGAAUACCCCCAAUUAGGUUUCUACAAGGUCAUUUAGAACCAUCUAAUUAUUCCUAGGGCAUAAUAAGUAAACCCUAGGAAAUCACCAUUAGAGCACAUGAAGAAAACUAGGAUUUUCAUGUGUUCUAAGCCAUUACUAGGUUUCUAUACAUGAGAGAAGGUCAAAACCUAGUUUUUUAGGGCAUAAAACUAAACCCUAUACCUAUUGUCACAAAACACCUCACCUUGGCCCAAAGCUCUCCAAGGUCCUUCUUGUUGGAGAGAUCCCAAACCCUCAAAGCCUCCAAAUCCACCUUCAAAAGCCUUCUCCACUCCUUCUCCUUGCUCUUUAGGGAGAGUUCUAGAGAGAGAAAGAGAGAAAUGAGAGGGAAGAUGUGUGUUCGCUGUGUGAGAGGGAGAGAGGAGUGUUGGGGAUAUAUAUAAGGUGCUACAAUUACCAAAAAUCCCUCUACUUAUUAAUAUUUGCAGCUGUUUCCAACCUGCUGUCGACCCAAAGUGUACCGGUACACUUUAGGGUGUCACCGGUAACACAAUCACGUAUGGCCAAACCCGGGUUUGGGGCAUUUGUACCGGUACACCUUCAUUUUGUACCCAUACACUUAUCUGUACCGGUGACAACUCUGUUAAGUAUUGUGUAUUGGCAAGUUUUGUGAAGUGAGUCGGAGUCUUGAAGAACCGGUGCGUAUCGUUGAAGAUCGAAAAAUUCAAGAUUUCGAAGAAGUCAGAAAAUAUCUCAUGACGUGAAUCACGAUGCUCAGGUAAAGUAUAAAUUCAUGUUAUGGUGAUUCAUACUUAGUUGUAGACAUUAGAAUCAUGUUAUCAAUGUCUAAUGGAUAAGAAAGUGCAUCGAUUCUAAAGUCUAUAAAUAAGCUAUUGGGCUUCUCUAACAGAUUAAGCAUCACGAAAAUACAUAUUUGAGAAACCCUAGAGGCUAGGAUUUGAUCAAAAAACCUAUUUUCUACAAAAAGCCUCUUUUAGAUCAAAUCGUGAUAUUGAAAUUUGAUAUUAAUAUGUCGAUUUGAUCUCCGCUUCGCUUGGAGUUCUAUUCCCUAGUUUUCUACGAUACUCCAAAGCGAAGGAUCACCAUAUUCAUGAUAUUCUUCAUGGUGGCGUCGUGGAUUCGGCGUAUUUGACGGCGGUUCGUGGAUUCGGAUCGUGGGCUCGUGGAUUCGAGUGGCGUCGUGGAUUCGGCGUGAUUGAAGCUUCGUGGAUUCGAAGUGGAGGCGUUUGUGGAUUCGGACGUGAGGGCGUGGACAACCCGGAGGGUAGCACGAAGAUUCAUAGGAGGUUAAGAGAGGUUAAGUCCGUGGAGUCGGUAAUCACCUUGUAAUCUUUUCUCUUAGUGAAUUGUUUUUUCAUGUGUUGGUCCCGUGGGUUUUUCUCCAAAUUGGAGUUUUCCCACGUAAAUCUCGGUGUGUUUUUUAUUUUCCGCAUUUAUUUUUAUUGCAUCGAGAUUUGUGGUUUUUGGCCGUUACGCCUAUUCACCCCCCUCUAGGUGAUAGAUACAAUCUAGAUAGAUCCUCGGGUUCCUCGAAACUUUCAAUUGGUAUCAGAGCGGGAUCUAGAUAAAUUGUUAUCUAAUGGCAGAAGGUGGUAACAUUAAUCGACCUCCGCUUUUCGACGACACGAAUUAUGCCUAUUGGAAAGUUCGCAUGAGAGCUUUUCUAAUUGCUAUCGAUGAGCGGGUUUGGCAAUCAAUUGAAUUUGGGUGAAAACAUCCGAUAGAAAAGGUCGAUAAUGUUGAAAAGCCAAAACCACGGAAGAAAUGGACGAAGGAAGAAAACGAGACAUCUUCGUUUAACGGCAAGGGCAUAAACGCUUUAUUUAAUGCUGUCACGCCCCGGGACCCAGCGGAAGCCCGCCCGGCGCGUGCCCAGACCCGCCAUAUGUCUACAACAUAUAAGGCGUCUAAAAACAACAAUAAUGAAAGCAAUAAUAAAAGACAUCUAGGAGUAUCAGAGCAUAGUAAAUGUCUAAUUGCUACAACAGGAGAUAUGGAUAAAACUGUAAAUCCGCUAAAUAAAACAUAAAGCGAGUACAAUGGGAAUCCCAAAUACAAGUGUUAUAGGUAGGUACAUAGGUGGUCUCUAUACAUGGAUACAAAAAUCUCACACUCUCCCAAAAUACAAAAGAAAGAGCAAACCACCUAAGUAAGAACCGCUCCUCGCUAGCUAGCUAAGCGAUCCCCUUGCCGCGAUCCCGCGCCUCCGCCGGUGCCGAAGGCUCUGAAAGGAAAACCAGAAAACAGGGGCGUGAGAACUAUUAAAAAUAGUUCCCAGUGGGCAAUUACUGACUUUAGUGAACUGCGCCACGAGGCCCAAAAGCUACAAGAAGAGGUCAGUGACUAUAACUGUAGGAAAAUGAAAGGCAAGUAAAAAGUAACUUACUACAACAUGAUAUCUCUACUUAGCAUAAAUAGCAUAAGUAUGAAACCACUAUGCAUGAAGUAAAAGUCCCAACUAUCAUAAUGUUCCCAAUGCGAAAUAGUAAAGUUCCGUUGUUUACUAUUCUAGUCAAUGUCCAAAUAAUACUCUAAGUCACCAUCUGUCCACAUGUCAUGAUGACUCCGCAAGUCAAAUCUGAAGAGACCCACCCGAAGGCUGUCUAUGGCCCUGAGACCCACCCGUAGGCUGUCUGGCCGGUGCCGAGCCUAAUGGCCCCGUGGUAGUCAACACCCCCACCCUAGGAGUGAGCCUGGCCCACGGCAAUCCACUUCGGCGCCCAAUCCCGCACGGCGAAUAUGUAUCGCGAUGGCCAUCUCCGGAGUGCCGGCUUGUAGGGAGCGACCCUCACAAGCAUGUGCGAAUGAGCACAAUGGCAAGUAGUCAAACGAUCNNNNNNNNNNNNNNNNNNNNNNNNNNNNNNNNNNNNNNNNNNNNNNNNNNNNNNNNNNNNNNNNNNNNNNNNNNNNNNNNNNNNNNNNNNNNNNNNNNNNNNNNNNNNNNNNNNNNNNNNNNNNNNNNNNNNNNNNNNNNNNNNNNNNNNNNNNNNNNNNNNNNNNNNNNNNNNNNNNNNNNNNNNNNNNNNNNNNNNNNNNNNNNNNNNNNNNNNNNNNNNNNNNNNNNNNNNNNNNNNNNNNNNNNNNNNNNNNNNNNNNNNNNNNNNNNNNNNNNNNNNNNNNNNNNNNNNNNNNNNNNNNNNNNNNNNNNNNNNNNNNNNNNNNNNNNNNNNNNNNNNNNNNNNNNNNNNNNNNNNNNNNNNNNNNNNNNNNNNNNNNNNNNNNNNNNNNNNNNNNNNNNNNNNNNNNNNNNNNNNNNNNNNNNNNNNNNNNNNNNNNNNNNNNNNNNNNNNNNNNNNNNNNNNNNNNNNNNNNNNNNNNNNNNNNNNNNNNNNNNNNNNNNNNNNNNNNNNNNNNNNNNNNNNNNNNNNNNNNNNNNNNNNNNNNNNNNNNNNNNNNNNNNNNNNNNNNNNNNNNNNNNNNNNNNNNNNNNNNNNNNNNNNNNNNNNNNNNNNNNNNNNNNNNNNNNNNNNNNNNNNNNNNNNNNNNNNNNNNNNNNNNNNNNNNNNNNNNNNNNNNNNNNNNNNNNNNNNNNNNNNNNNNNNNNNNNNNNNNNNNNNNNNNNNNNNNNNNNNNNNNNNNNNNNNNNNNNNNNNNNNNNNNNNNNNNNNNNNNNNNNNNNNNNNNNNNNNNNNNNNNNNNNNNNNNNNNNNNNNNNNNNNNNNNNNNNNNNNNNNNNNNNNNNNNNNNNNNNNNNNNNNNNNNNNNNNNNNNNNNNNNNNNNNNNNNNNNNNNNNNNNNNNNNNNNNNNNNNNNNNNNNNNNNNNNNNNNNNNNNNNNNNNNNNNNNNNNNNNNNNNNNNNNNNNNNNNNNNNNNNNNNNNNNNNNNNNNNNNNNNNNNNNNNNNNNNNNNNNNNNNNNNNNNNNNNNNNNNNNNNNNNNNNNNNNNNNNNNNNNNNNNNNNNNNNNNNNNNNNNNNNNNNNNNNNNNNNNNNNNNNNNNNNNNNNNNNNNNNNNNNNNNNNNNNNNNNNNNNNNNNNNNNNNNNNNNNNNNNNNNNNNNNNNNNNNNNNNNNNNNNNNNNNNNNNNNNNNNNNNNNNNNNNNNNNNNNNNNNNNNNNNNNNNNNNNNNNNNNNNNNNNNNNNNNNNNNNNNNNNNNNNNNNNNNNNNNNNNNNNNNNNNNNNNNNNNNNNNNNNNNNNNNNNNNNNNNNNNNNNNNNNNNNNNNNNNNNNNNNNNNNNNNNNNNNNNNNNNNNNNNNNNNNNNNNNNNNNNNNNNNNNNNNNNNNNNNNNNNNNNNNNNNNNNNNNNNNNNNNNNNNNNNNNNNNNNNNNNNNNNNNNNNNNNNNNNNNNNNNNNNNNNNNNNNNNNNNNNNNNNNNNNNNNNNNNNNNNNNNNNNNNNNNNNNNNNNNNNNNNNNNNNNNNNNNNNNNNNNNNNNNNNNNNNNNNNNNNNNNNNNNNNNNNNNNNNNNNNNNNNNNNNNNNNNNNNNNNNNNNNNNNNNNNNNNNNNNNNNNNNNNNNNNNNNNNNNNNNNNNNNNNNNNNNNNNNNNNNNNNNNNNNNNNNNNNNNNNNNNNNNNNNNNNNNNNNNNNNNNNNNNNNNNNNNNNNNNNNNNNNNNNNNNNNNNNNNNNNNNNNNNNNNNNNNNNNNNNNNNNNNNNNNNNNNNNNNNNNNNNNNNNNNNNNNNNNNNNNNNNNNNNNNNNNNNNNNNNNNNNNNNNNNNNNNAAUGGCGAAAGUGAGGAGGAAUCAAACGACGACGACAUAGCGGAAGCGUACAAUCAACUUCUCAUUGAAUCAAAGAAGAUGGCUAAACUCAACAAGAAGUUGAGACGUCGUUUGUUGGAACUUGAGGAGGAAAACAACAACGUAAAGAAUUUGAAUAAGGUUCUUGAGGAGGAAAGGGAUUCAAACUUGAAGAUUAAUUCGGACCUCCAAGAAAAGUUUAAUGAAGCGGAAUCAACGAUCAAAUCUUAUAAAGACAAGGUUGGAUUUUUGGAGCAUCAAUUUCAUGAAUCGCACAAGUUCAAUCAAGUCUUGACCGAACAAGUUCGUCAACUCCAAUCAGAUCUUCAACAAUUUUCUUCGGGAUCAAAGAAGUUGGACAAAAUGCUUGGAUUGGGUCAAACGAACAAAUUGGGCCUCGGAUAUGAACGCACAUACGUUGAGAAGGAUUCAAUAUCAACUUCUAAAGUCUCAACAAAUUCGAAAGACAAGGUGUGUCAUAAAUGUGGUAAGAAAGGACACAUUAAAAGGAAUUGCCCAAAGAAGGAAAAGAAGAAUCAAUCGGCAAUGUCUAAACCUCAAACGGCAUCAUCUACAACUCGACUUCCCCUGCGGAAUCAAAAGAAGAAUCAAGUUAGUCGAGUACCUCAAAAGAAUCGGAUUUCUAAUGCACAACGCCAAGUUCAUGCAAACCAGGUGCAUAAAUCUCAACGACAAAUUCAACCUAAGCCUCAACCGAAGAAAACACCAACGGUUGUUCAAAAGUCUAAACAAACGGCACCUAACGUCGACAAGUCGAGAAAACCAACGAUCCGACAAGUUUGGAUCCGGAAAGGUGAUAUCUUUCCUUGCUCCUCGUCUUAGUCAUUUUUGUUCUUUAGUGUAAUGCUUUGAUUGGUGCUUGUUGUUUAAUUUUAUUCAUUACAUUACAUGUUUGAAUGAUUUUUGGUGCAUUGAAUUUUUGUUUAUUUAAAAAUCAUUUUGAGGAAAAGGUGUUUAGGAAUUUCAAAAUCUUUGAGAAAGGAGAUGAUUGAGAAUUUUUUUUGGAGAGGAAGUUUUUAAAGAUUGUUUAAACAGGUUUUAUCUUCACAAUCAUAUUAAGUUAAAUUCAUAUUAAUUAUCGUNNNNNNNNNNNNNNNNNNNNNNNNNGUUUUGUAAGGUUUUCCUCUAGGGUUUGGAUUUUGGUUAAGAGAUUUGGAGCUUUGUGCUCCUUAGAGGUUUUAGAAGCUCUUUUGAGCCAUGAACAACAAGGUACCCAUGAGAGCUCAAGGUGCUCUCAUGGUGAACCCUUGGAAGUUGGGUUAGAAGCCCUAGGGUUGGUUCCAAAAGCUUGGAAACCUUAUUAGAAUGCUUCCUAAGUGAAUCUAAGUUACCAUUUGCUUAGGGUUGAGAUCAAUUCAAGGGGAAACCCUAAAUGACAAUGUUAGGGCUUGGAUUUGGGGCUUUUGCCCUAGGAUUUUUUGGGGACAAAUUGACCCCGUAGAAACCUAAUUGGGGGUGCCCUAAACACGUUGGACAACUCCGUUUAAUAUUACGAAAAUGUUAGAACAAAGUUCAUGUACAAAAAGGCCUAAUAUAGCAUUAUUUUGAUUAUAGGGCGCGGGAUCGGAUUUCAUAAAGUGCGGGAGCUUCCGUAACCUACACCCACACAACUAAUAGAGGGGGGGUGCACGCCGGAAUCGUUGGAUUCCCUUCUAUGUCUGUUUUCUCUAUUCGUGAGCAUAUAUAUAUAUAUAUACACCCAUUCAUGCAUAGUAGGGUAGCUACAUGUGGAACUUGGUUUGACUUCAUUUAUAUGCUUCUAACGUAGUUGAACAUAGAGAAUGAUAGAACCAAAAUGGACAUGUGUGUUUGGACCCUCAAGUUGUGUGAAUGUGAGAAUGGACUUGGACAUUAGAAAACAUGGGUGUCAUUGACAUAGAAACAAGAAUUGCAUUGUGAGAUGAACCGUUGAAUAUAGUUUAACCCAUAUUGACAUUGUCGAAGAUAAAGCCUUGAGAGUGGCAAGAAUGAAUAGGUAGGGACCCAUCGUGAUAUUGGCAUUGUGACUAGUGGCUAUGAGUCCUUAAGUUGAGGAUUAGAUCGAUACUCACAUUUCGUCUUGGCUUGAGGGAGAUCGCUCCCCCUCGAGCGGUGCGCUCCGGAGUUGGUCACCACUGGGUGUGGUAAAGUCCCACCAGUUGACGGUCCCUAGGGAGGUUCGAGUCCCCCGUUAUUAAGGGAUUUUGGGUUGUGAGUUAGUGGGGUUAACAGAGUUAACCGGUAAGAUUGGGUAAGAGCCAAAGCUUGAUUAUGAUUGAAGCAUGCAUGCAUUUCCAUUACCGCAUUGAAAUUGUAUAUCUACUGACUUCUUUCUUGCAGGCAUAGUAUUAGUUGCAUUAGUAAUGGUUUUUUCUUCCUUUGAAAUAGUUAUGCCUGGAUGGACCUAGUGGGUAAGUCGGCGAGGUCGGAUGCCGAGCCCACUGGGAACAUCGUUGUAGUUCUCACACCUCUAACCCUACAGGUCCUAGUACGAGCGGGGCGGCGGAGGACCGAGGCAAGGGUUUGGCGCCGUAGGUAGCGGCCACCGGGACUUUAUGCAUUUUGUAGUCAUUCCCUUUUGUUAUACAUGUAUCAACUUUAUUCUGUUGAUUUAGGUAUGAAAAGUGUAAAUAAUCAUGUAUUUUGAGGAUGACUAAAUGUAAAAGAUAUGAUGGUUGAAUGGAAUGUAGUAGCCUUGUUUACUUGAAUUUGGUUUAAAUGGAAUCAAAUAUCAUGUGUGAUGUAUAUUUAGCUUAGAGCUUUCGCUUCCGUUGUUGCUUGCCCUCGAGCAAGCCUUGUAUUAUAUAUGCAAUUCUCUCGUUUAUUGCCACUUUAUACCUAUUGUUAGAGCCUUGGGCGGACAGGGGAGGCUCUGUCCGUUCGGCGUCUGUUGACGUGACCCGAACCCGACCAAAUUGGCGUGGAUUGGGGCGUGACACUGAGGGAGAGAGGGACUAAUAAGUCCUCUAAUGUAACAAUAUCCAGCUGGCCCCCUCAACUUUUUAUUCUCUGCACAGCCCUCACUGGGCAUUUUGCGCGCGGAGGGACUGGUCUCCCCGAUUUGAGAUCGGUCCCCGAGAGCUUCAGCUCGGGUCACGCGUUCGGGUACCGGUCUCUCCCAGAGAGACCGGUCCUUGGGAGACCGGUUCCUUCCUGAGAGACCGGUUCCCGAGAGUGGGAUUUUAAGGACUUAGCCAAAUUUUUGGCUUUCUCGCUGGGUUCGCAUUCGGGGACCGGUCCCUCCCUGCCAGGGACCGGUUGCCUCAAGCAACCCCGCAACACCCGCUGAUGGGACCGGUCCCUCCCUGCCAGGGAUCGGUUCCCGAGAGUAGUUUUGCUCCAGUGCAGGUUUUGCACCAUUUGCUCUCGUGGACUCGUUUUCAAUGCACUUUUGGUGAUUAUAAUAUCUUUGGCUUUUCCAAAGCUCACCAACACGACCCUUGGUCGUUCUGGAUGAAGUCUAACUCUCGUAUUUCGAGAAUUCACUUCCUCACACUAUCAGACCUCAAAACUCUUUUGUAAAUCCUUUUAUCGAAAAACAGCGAAAAAUGUAUAUUUUUUAAACCAAAGUUAAAGAUGACCCUAUAAGGGUGCGUUUGGUUCGCACUAUGAAAGAUUACUAGUAAUAAAAAGAUGUCCAAGAAUCUUAUUCCUAUUCAUCCUACUACGAAGAAUGUAGCAUUCCUGUGUUUGGUUCGCACUGUUAUAUUAUUUAGUCAUGUUAUUUAAGUUUACAAAAAAUAUACAAUUAAUUUAUUUAUUUCUUCAAUUAAUUUUAUUUUAGAUAAUGCCACCAAAAAUUUCAACAUCUUUUUUAAAAAAAGGGAGAGAGAGAAAAUAGGUUAGAGAGAGAGCAUAAUUAAAUAAAUAGGAAGAGAAAUAGAGUCGAGAUUAGAGGGAGUGCGAGAGUUGAGAUUUUAGAAAAAUAGGGGGAGAGAGUGCUUAGUUUAGAAAGAGAAAAAGAGUUGAAGUUUAGAAAGAAAAAAAUAAGUUUAGAGAGAGAUAUGAGGUUAGAGUGUAAAGAAAAAUAAUACCAACUAGCCGGCGGGUAGGGAGAAAGAAAGAGAUUAGACAUAUUAUGAUUACCCUAAUCCAUUAAUAUGAGGAUACCCACUCUCCCUCAAGGGAAUGAAAUUAGUACUUUAGAAUGAAUCUCAUUCCCAAAUAAAUCUAAUAUUACCAACUAGAUUACUUAGUGUGUUUAGUCAAACACCAUCAUAUUUUUUUAUUCAUAUUGGAUUAGUAGGAAUCUUAAAAAGAUAACGCGAACCAAACGCGCCAUAAACGUGCACAGACUCGCCAUAUGGAUAGUUUUUUCUGUACAAACCGAUAGUCUUUCCUGUACAUGCAUGAUGUAAAAAGCACAACCUCCACCAAUAUAACCAACCACAAUAAGAAUGACAAUAACAACAAGGAUGAAUACAAUAACAACUAUAAUAUCAGAAGAAAACUAAAUACUAAUAACAGAAGAACACUAAAGAAAUAGGUAACAGGAACACAAGGCUUCUGCCGUUUUGAACAGGUUGCUCCAAAAGUCUUUGGUAUCAACAACGUAUGUAGGAUAAGAUGCAAGAUUAGAUGUAGCAACAAGUUUGAAAUUGUACUUUCCUAUUUUUGGUCGAUCAGCUUUUUAACCUUUGCAAUUGGAAAAGUCACAGAAUACGAGAAUCAACAUUUUGAUGUUCUAACACUUGCUUCAAUCUAUCAGGUUAAAAUCUGCACCUCUUCUCUUUCACAAAUAAUUUUUAUAAAAUUAUAAAUCAGUUUCAUUAUAUAUAUUUUUUUAUUUGAAAAUGCUAAUUGUUAUGAUCUGAGUUAAUUCUGACGAUUUGCCAUAAUUUUAUAGGUGCAAGUAACAUGAUUGUUUAUAGUUGAACUUGCACCAUAGGAAAAACUAUCUAACCUAAAGUCCUUGUCCUAAGUCCUUUAUACGCUACGUGACUCUGGAUUUAAUAGAAAAUGUUGGUGUAAAUAUUCAAAAAAUAGAGGUUAGCUACAAAAUAAUUUAAAAAAUAUCAACGAGUCGAUCAAGCCGAGGCACGGAUAUCUCGCUCUCUUUAAGGAGAUUCAAGCCCUCUGCGGUUGGCAAAGCCUUUGAACCGAUGCAGCAGAGCACCGACUUGUCCCCUCCAGGAUACAACGGCUCGACCCUCGUCGUGUGGCUUCACCAACUCUGCACAAGUAGAUGAGCCCAAAGCUCCACCAAAAGAACACCUUUCUUUGACCUUCUCUCUCUCACAAGUAUAAUAGAAAUAGCUUUAGUAGUAUAUUGAGUUGUGUAUAAAAAUAGAAAAAAAAAGCACUCUAUAUAUAGGCUCUAAAAGGUAUAGGAGUUACGAGAAAAUAAAAAGCCAUAGGUUACAUAGCAUUUAAUAGAGUUCAUUAUACAUACGUUGCAAUCCUAACGAAAGCAUAGAUUAAGUGUUUAGCAGUAUACAACACUAAAUGUGAUAAAGUAAACUGCAUUCCUCAAGUGGUAACUGCAAGAGCAUAAGUUAUCAAAAGGAUAUUCAAAUCAUAUAAAUAAUAAAAAUGUAACAACAGAAAAUAAUAAUAAUAAUAAUAACUAUUUCUGAACUAACCCCACUUUUUUUUGGGUAAAAAAACAAAAUCCCAAAUCAAAUUGAGUUGAAACAAUUGAACUGCAAAUAGAUUCCAUUGUCCUGUGAUUUUGAUUACCAAAUAACAGUUUAGGUGAAACGAUUUAUUGUGUACUACAAUGGAUAGUGCAUUAUCCUACCCACCAACAUCUGCGGGCAGUAGUAAUCAGCAGAGAGAAGUAUAAAUGUGUAAGACAGCAGAGCAACAAAAUCUUUGCAGGCUAAGCAGCAUGCCUGCUCCUGGGCACCAGACGAGCCCUGAGGGGAUUCUUCAUAACGAUGGUGAAUUCGGGCUUCUCUGCCAAGUCGACUUCCUCCCCCUCCGCUGCCGGCAGCCACUCGAACUCCCUGACAAGAUGCGCCACGAAGCACUCGAGGUGCAGCAGGGCGAGACCGAGUCCUGGGCACAUCCUCCUCCCCGCCCCAAACGGCAUCAUCUUGAUCACCCCCUUGCAGACCCCUGCGGCAUCUACCCCCUCGCCGUCACCUCCCUCCAUGAACCGCUCCGGCCGGAACUCCAUCGGCGCCUCCCACACCCUCCCAUCCCGCCCCAUCUCCGCCACCAGGAAGUUCACUGCCGCCUCCUUCGGAAUUCGGUACCCUGUGAUCUCCGUCUCCUCCGUCACUGCAUGCGGCAGCACGAAGUGCCCCGGCGGGUGCCGCCGCAGCCCUUCGAGCACCACCGCCUUCAGGUACGGCAUCUUUUGCAAGUCCUCUUCUCUUAUGGCAUCCUCCUCCUCCGCAUUCCCCGCCGCCACGCGGUCGAUCUCCUCCGCAAGUUUCCUCUGCACGUCCUGGUGCUUCACCAGGUUGGCCAUGAUCCACUGCAGCGCCGUCGACGUCGUGUCCGUGCCGGCGUUCAGGAACUCCGAGCACAGCGCCACCAUCUCCUCCUCGCUCAGCUUUCUCCCACCUUCCUCCGGGAUCUCCAUGUCCAGCAGGGAGUCGACGUACGAGUACACGAAUCGCUCCUCGUCUUCUUGAACCUGGUCGCCGUUCUGCCGCCGCCGCUGCUGCUGCUGCUUUUUCCUCUUGAAUUCUUCCCGGGCACGGAUCAACGGGACGAACAGCUCGCGCUGUCUCGCCCUCAACGCUGUUGCGGUCUUCAACCUGUUUCGGAAGAUGUGCUUGGUAAUCUGCGGAAGGAUGCCGAGGACGUUGAGGUUGCUGACGACGUAGAGGAGGAAGCUGCGCUGGGCGAUCUCGAUCUGCUUUAUCGACUCGUGAUCUAAUUUUUCGCCGAAGCACAUCAGCACCAGCAGAGCGAACAUGGCGAACUGGAAGCUGGGCAUGACGGCGACGGGGCCGCCGUCGGAGGAACGGGACUGCGAGCGGAGGUCGUCGGCGAGGAGACGGAGGACCCAGCGGCGGCCGGGGGCGUAGAGCCUGAGGCGGGAGGGGUGGAGGAUCUCGGCGACGAGGUUGCGGCGGAGGAGGCGNUUUCGUGGGUCGAGUCGGAGUCGUGAAGAAGUUCGGAGCGAAGUAUUGAAGAUCGAAGAAUCCAAGACUUCGAAGAAUCGGAAAGGACGCAAAACAUGCAAAACUUGAAUCACGAUGCGUAGGUAAGUUUUAAAUCUUGUUUAUGGUGAUUCAUACUUAUUUAUAGAUCUUAGAAUCAUAUUUUCAAGUUGUAAUUGAUUAGAAAGUUUCUAAGAGUUUGUAAAACCCGAAACAAUGCAUUUUCAGCGAAAAUUGCAUUGCUGUACCGGUACAAGGAUUUUCUGUCCAGGGUACAGCCAUCAACGUUCCGCAGAAAGUUUGAUGGUUGUUCCGGUACAAGCUUCAUGCUGUACCGGUACAAGCCCUGUUCCGGAACAAGCUAAAGCUAUCCAGGGUACAGGAGCUUCGCAGAAAAAUCUUCCGUAAUGGUGUACCCUGGACAACAUUCCUUGUUCCGGUAUAAGGUGCUGAUUUUAGAAAGAAACUUUCUAAUCCUACUCUGUUUUGAUUCUAAAGUCUAUAAAUAAGCUAUAGGGGUUCUCUAACGAAUUAAGCAUCAUAAGAAUACAUAUUUGAGAAACCCUAGAGGCUCGGAUUUCAUCAAAAACCUAUUUUCUACAAAAAGCCUCUUUUAGAUCAAAUCGAGAUAUUGAAAUUUGAUAUUAAUAUGUCGAUUUGAUCUCCGCUUCGCUUGGAGUUCUAUUCCCUGGUUUUCUACGAUACUCCAAAGCGAAGGAUCACCAUAUUCAUGAUAUUCUUCAUGGUGGCGUCGUGGAUUCGGCGUAUUUGACGGCGGUUCGUGGAUUCGGAACAUGGGCUCGUGGAUUCGAGUGGCGUCGUGGAUUCGGCGUGAUUGAAGCUUCGUGGAUUCGAAGUGGAGGCGUUUGUGGAUUCGGACGUGAGGGCGUGGACAACCCGGAGGGUAGCGCGAAGAUUCAUAGGAGGUUAAGAGAGGUUAAGUCCGUGGAGUCGGUAAUCACCUUGUAAUAUUUUUUCUUAGUGAAUUAUUUUUUCGCAUGUUGGUCCCGUGGGUUUUUCUCCAAAUUGGAGUUUUCUCACGUAAAUCUCGAUGUGUUUUUUAUUUUCCGCAUUUAUUUUUAUUGCAUCGAGAUUUGUGGUUUUUGGCCGUUACACCUAUUCACCCCCCUCUAGGUGAUAGAUACAAUCUAGAUAGAUUCUUGGGUUCCUCGAAACUUUCAAACUUGAUGGUUGUACCGGUACACAUUGCCCAGACUUGGUUUUUGGCUCCGUUUCGAUUCUAUUUCGCGCCGAUCGAUACCAAAACUCUUCUAACACUUCCAGAACUCAUUUUUAAUCCUUCCAAUCUUGUUGGAAUGCUAAAUGGAACUUGCCCAACUAUUUCUUUCGCAUUUUUUACUUUUAAAUCGCGCCGAGUGAUGCUAAAACUUGUAACGUUGUUGGAAUGUUAACUGAACUUUGUUCAUCCAUUUCUCUCGUCACUUUAACCAAUUUGGCUAAAGUUCGAUAAUCGCUAUCGAGGUUUCGAUACGUUACAAUAUUGUUUUAACAACAGAUCUUUUUGUAUUGAACUAGAUGAAAAAUGCAGGACUCCUUACUCUAGUUAAAUUACACCACUUAGUUAGCACCAAAAACAAUGUAAUAAUAUAGGAGAUGAGAGUAAUAGGAAGAACUAGAAAUGCUAAACAAAUUGAUAUAUCCUUCUACUUCCAAGUAAAGGCAUGCAAAUAUAAUGCUAAAACAUGCUACCAUAUUCCAUAGUUCCAAUCUUCAUGUAAUGCACAGAACAGAUUAUAACAAAUGCACACUUCUAAAGAAAAUUAAUUAUCACAAUCAAUUAAUCUAGCCUAAAACAUGCCAAUUUUAGCAUUCCUAAAUUAAGCGGAAAAAGCUUCUCGAACAGGGCAUUAGAUCUAAACAAUUUUCUCGCACAAGAUCCUACCUUUCUCCCAAAUCUUAUCACAUCUGGAAUAGGCUUAGUGGUAUAUUCUUAACCCUAGACUUGUGAAGGAGGAAUUUAUCAAGUUGGGUAUACGCCCUGGGAGGUAAGCACUGUCAAGCAUAAGCAAAAACGAACAAUAUUUGUUAAGGUAUCAUGCACUCAAGAUCCUCACUUGGCGUAAAUUCUAAAUUCUAAUUAUGAAUUAUAUGAAAUUUAUAUUGUUUUUUAUACUAAUUUAUGUGUUGGUGCUGCUAUGAUUUCCGUUUCACCAUUGUUGCCUGUUCUUUUUUGUCAAUCGAUGCCAACAUUUAAUUUGACUAAUUCAUUUUAACUAACUUUUAUAUUCGAUCCCCAAUCUUGAUAGUUACAUUGUUUUCAACUUGCAGGUUACUGAAGAUUUAGUGGGAUAUAAUAUGGCCUCCAUUGGCUUCUUUAAGUUAUACUUUCAUUCUUAAUUUGCUUGUUAGUCACAAGAUGCGAACAUACACAAAAGAUGAUUAAAGGUUGAUAAUUUAAAUUUUUGCUUUUGGUUUCUUAUGUUUACCAACUACUUUGCUUUUGGUUUCUGGUUUUUAUACUCUUUCUUAUGCAGGGAGUAAACAAAGUAUUUCCAUUUGUUUCAAGUGAUGAUCGAGGCUGAUGAUAUUAUAGAGGUUCAAACACUAGUUCUUUUUCUAUUGGUGAACUUAAGUUCCAUCUAUGAAUGAUUUUGAAGUUUAUAUUUGUAACAUACUGAAACUUCGGUAGAAUAUUGGACUCUAGCCAAAUUGGCCAAAGAGCCCGAGAGAAAUGGUUGGACGAAGUCUAUUUACCAUUCCAACAGUGUUGGAAGGGUUAGAAAUGAGUUCCAAAGGAUUUAGAAAGGUUUUGGCAUUGAUCGGCGCGAAAUAGAAUCGAAACGGAGCCAAAAACCAAUCUCGGCAUAGUGUAUCGGUACAACCAUCGAGUUGUAACCGGUACAGAUAAGUGUACCGGUACAAAGUGAAAGUGUAUCGGUACAAAUGUCGCAAACCCGAGGGAGCUGCUCUCGGGUUUGGUCAUACGCGAUCAUGUUACCGGUUACACGAUGAAGUGUACCGGUACACUUUCGGCUGACAGCAGGAAAUAGGUCUGCUGCAAAUAUAAGUUGUUGGGGGCUUAUUUGCAAAUGUUGCACACUAUAUAUGCAACCAAACCUCUUCUCCUUCACAGUAGCCCUCUCCUCUCCCAUUUUCUCUCCCUCUCUCUCUCUCUAGAAGUUUUGCACCAAGGCAAAGGAGAAGGAGAAGAAGGCUUGGAGAUGGCAUUUUGAGGGUUUCGAAGGAUUAAGAAGCUCUCCUUCAUGGUGGUCUUGGAAGAGCUUGGGCUAAGGUGAGUUAUUUUGGAAGAAUACAUCUAGGGUUUAGAUCUCUACCCUAAGAUUUAGAGUUUUGAUCUUCUUGCAAGCUUUAGAACCUUGUAGAAACUUGGAAACACAUGAAAACCAUGUGUUCUUCGAGGUGCUCUAAUGGUAGAUUUCUAGGGUUUGUUCUAAACACCCUAGGAAUGGUUCGAAUGGUUCUAAAUGAGUUCUUAAAUGUUGAACAAGCUCUCUUUUACUUGUUCUAGAGAUCAAAACUAAGAAGUGGGAUUAUGGCAUUGUUAGGGCACCAAAUUUGAAAAUUUUGCCUCCGGGUGUUUUCGAGAUAAAUUGACCUCUUGAAAACCUAAUUGGGGGUAUUUCCGACGCGUUGGUGUGCUCAGUUCGUUGAAAUGAAAAGACUAGAUAAUAUUUCUUGGUUAAAAGUCUAAUUUGGCUCUAAUUUGGUACAAAUCAACGGAACUCCCGAAAUAGGAGUCCAAAAAUAACGAGAACGGAUCCAGAGUAUCGUGGCAUCAAGUUAUUGAUCGAACAACUUCCGGAUUUUGGAUUGGUGGCCGUUGGUGGUCGAGUACGAGUUCGGCCGCACCGGACAACGAGUGCCGCGAGAGGCCGAUUAGAAGUGAUUACGAGCAAUCGGAGUGCGAAUCGAGGUGGGUUGUGCUCACCGAAGCGACUAGGUCGCCUCUAUGCCUAAGAGAAAAGUGGUUUCAUGUUGAUGCAUGUAAAUGUUAGAAGAAGCAUGUGGUAAUACUAAAAGAAUGCAUGUGAGCACAUUGUAAGAAUGCAUGUUAAUGACAUAAUGUAAAAUGUUAAUUGGAUGCAUAUGAUGUAAUAUAGAAAUACUAUAAUGCAUGAUGAUAUAAUAUGAAUGAUGCUAGUUAAAAGUAUAAGGUAAAUGGCAUUUGCAUGUUAAGAUAAAGUAGAGAAUAUGCUGGUUGUAAUGCGUAAUGACAAGUUGCAAAGAAUGCUAGUUUGGAUAAGCAUGUUAUGUAAAUGCUAGAUAAUUGCAUGAAGGCAUGGUUAGUAUUGUGAGGACUAUGGAAUACUCGAAUUGGACAACUAGGAUGUGAAUUAGAUCGAGUGGCAUUGGACCUAGUGUUAGUAAACAUAGGUUGGAUAAGAAUGACACAUGAACCUAGUGUUGUUAAACAUAGGUGGGCAUCGAACUUAGUAUUAAAGAACAUAGGUUGAGAAUGAACCUAGAGUUAACUAAAUCUAGGUGUGUGGCAUUAACCUAGUGUCGAGAACAUAGGUUGAGAGUUGAGCCUAGAGUUAAAGUAAACCUAGGUUAUGUGAUUGAGGCAUUAAACCUAGAGUCAGCUGGACCUAGGGUGGAGAGUGCAUUUGUAAUACACUGAACUUUUGCAAAUUGCGGAGUUCGAGUGUGUGGCAUGAGAUGUGGAACUAUCCUACAUAUUCUAAAAGGUUUGGACAAGUUUUUGAAUAAGUUAGAGGAUGAUUGGAAAGCUAGAAGUGAGAAAGUGCAUUGCAAUUUCGAAAUCAGCAUUUUCUACAUUGUGUACCGGUACAGCCAUUACCCUGUACCGGUACAGCAAGCAGCAGAGUCAGCUGCUGCGGGACAGCAGGGUUAUCUUGGUCUUUUCACCUCUUGUUCUUAUCUAUUUCAGUCCAGCAUGACCAGGGAUGUUUGCUGGAGUGUGCUAGAGCUCAGAGGAGCUGCCCUGCACCUUUCUCUCUCUCUCUCUCUAGGAUUUUUCUCCCUCUACGAAGGAGUCGCCGUUUUGCGCCGAUUUGGCGCCGCGCUCGAUUCUCGCUGGUUGGAGGACUCGAGGGAGGUCUUUGGAACGUGGGAAAGAAGGGUCUUAUCAUAUUUCCUGUGAGGUUACUUCCAGGGAAGCUGAUUCUCAGCUUUAGAGAGGUAACUAACUUGCUUUCUCUCGAAUUUACGGUUUAGUAUCGAAUUUUGACGCAGUUUAGUUCUGUUGCUUCCAACUGAAGUAGAAGAGGUUUUCAGCAGUAAAGAGGAGUCAUGUUGGCUGCUCAAUUGUCCAUUUAACCUCAGAGAAACUUUGCUUUAAAGCUUAAUAUGGAUAAUUAGUGAAUUAUAACUCAAUUUUGGACUAUAUGAAGUUUAAGCGAGUAAUUGAUGCAGUUUGGAAAUUGUUCCUUCGCAGCAGGUUUUCGAACCAUUUUGAGCUAAUUUGGUGACCUGGGGAUCUGGUUAGGAAGGUAUUCUAACCAAGGGUAAGCUGGAAUUUCAGCUAGAAACCCAUUUUCGCAAGAAUUCGACUAUAAAAGCUUGUAUACAAGCAUUCUAAUGCCGUUUUGAUGUUGUUUGCAGCAAGAGCGCGAUCGAGCCUUAGAUCAUCUUCUGUUAGCAUUGGAGAGCAAUUGAGGCUUAAUUUGAGGUACUAAUGUGACCCGAAACAGGGAUUUAAGCUAUUACCUUGUAUUAAGUGCGAAUUGUACCGAAAUUGGACAUUUCGGUUGUAGUAGUGAUACGACUUUCGUACCUUAUUAUAGCAGGAUUGAGGCUUCGUGGAGCUUGAAUUCGAGACCUCUUGUGGACUGAUUGGAGCCUAGUAAUAGGUGGGUUUGACCUAACCAGAGCAAGUGAAGCACCCCUAUGUUCUAUAUGUUACUAUAGAAUUGAUACAUAGGUACAUGUUAUAAUUAUAUGAUUGAUAAGGACUCGAAACUUGUCACCGUAACAUUUGAUACUUGGGACUGAAAGCUCUAUAAAGUAGAGAACACUUGUGCAUAAAAGCAUUCAUGUUCAUGCUUGUGACUAUGUUGAUAGUAGCAUGAUAGUGGAAAGAUUCUAAUGCCAUAUGUAAAUNAUGACUUAUGAACAAGUGUAAGAUACACGUAUAAAAACACUGACAUUGACUCUAAAGUAGAGAACCAUGACAUGUUUUCGGACUAUGUUGGUAGCACCAUGAUAGUGAAAAGAUUCUAAUGUCAGGUGUCACGCCCCGGGACCCGGCAAAGGCCCUGCCCGGUGCGUGCCCAGACCCGCCAUAUGCCUGCACAUAUAAGGCGUCUACAACAAAGUGAUAUGAAAGAUAAAAUAAACAAUAACUAACGAUAUCAGAGCAAGCAUGCAGCUAAGUUCUAUCAACAAGCGGAAAUAGAAAGGAAAGAGAAAGAGACUAAACCACUAGAACAUAAAGAAACUAAUACAUCAUAAGUCUCCAGAUACAAAAGUAGGGUGGUCUCUAUAACAAGGUACAAAACUCUCACAACCUCUCCAACGCAAAACAAAAGAGAGGUAGACCACCUAACGCCAAAUCCCUCGGUAGCUAGCUCGAGGCGAAACCUUUCCCGCGAUCCCGAGCCCCUCCCGAAGUGGAAGGCUCUGAAAGAAAACAUAAAACAGGGGGCAUGAGAACUAUAAUUUAUAGUUCCCAGUGGGCAAUUACUGACCUGCACCAACUGCACCACUAGGCCCAAAAGAGAGCAGAUAAAGUUAAUAGAAUUUAACUGCGGUAAAUGAAGCAUAAUAAUAAGAUGCUACUCUACUAUGCCAUAAGUAUGUAGAAUGUCAACAUGAAGUACAUCUACUCUACAUGAACCAGUAUGCCAGUACUUAAACAAAUAUGCUAUGAUGCAACGUGUAAUACUAUGAAGUUUGAUAUAUGUCUCAAAGCCAACUACAUAUCUAGUAUGUACUAUCCUGGCAACCAAGUACACUACGAUGCCAUCAGCGAUACCGUCAAGUAUCCUAUGAAUCUCAAUGUCCGACCCUAUGCCGUAGCAUGUUAAGGAAUCCAACUACUAUGACCUGUCUAGUAGUGAUUAUCAACUUGUUGUUUAAUAUUUUGGUUCAAUCUCAUUCAGGAUCUACACGGGUGUAGUCCGGCUUGUGCCGCCUAAGUGCCUGUGGUAGCCCAACAUUCCUGCCCUUGGAAUGUGUCUGUCCCACUCGACCCCGUAGGCUUCUCAGUACCGCACGAGCGAGCAUAUGUCGCGUAGGCUAACUCCGGAGUGCCGGCUUGUAGGGAGCGACCCGUACAAGCAUGUGCGAAUGAGCACAAAUGGCAAGCAAGCAUGGUCAAAACCUCAAGUACCCAAUCAUCAUGUCUCUAACAUGGUAACAGUCACUAGCAACCCAAAGGUCUAGUACUAUGUCUCAAUGUGAAGGUUAAACCGUUCAAUAAUUUCGAUGUCAAUGACCCUAGCUUUACUAAGUCCAAAUCUCAAGGUGAAGUUCCCACAUUCACUAUGUUUAGUGCCUCUUUAUGACAUUUAAACAUUGCUAUAAUCUAAGCACAUUUCACCUUCUAAGUCUCUUUAUGACGUUAACUUAUUCUAUCAAUAAUAGAUUAAUACACAUGCUCUCUAGUGUGUUCUUAUAUUGCCACAUGUAUGUUCUCUCCAAUGCAACUAUCCACUUGGCAUAAUUUCUCAUAAUAAUAACAUGCAAAUGCAAUUUACAUAUCCAUCAAGUCUAAUGCCGCUUUAUGACAUUAGCUUGCUAAGUCCAUCUCUAGUCCAAGCCUAAUGCCGCUUUAUGACAUUAGCUUACCAUUUGUAUACACUCUAACCUAUGUCACUUAAGGUCGAUAUGACCAACCAUGUCAAGUAUGCGUUCUAAGCCCAAGAGUGUAAUCUAUGUGCCAUAAGCACCAUAUGCAACAUGAUCUUAAUCAAAUGUAAGAAUGCUAACCAUAGGCCCCUAGCCCAACAUGAAAACUCUCUACCAUAUAGAGGUCAAAUAUGCAUUGUAUAUAACAUGUGCAUUUUAAGCAUUCUAAAAUUCACAAAUAAUGCAUCGAACAUGAAUAUGCAUGCUUUUUCAUUUUACAAUACUUAAAUCAUCAACAAUGAGAUUUUCUCAUUAUGUGGCUAGGUCAAACCCACCGACGACAACGGAACCCUUCGAUUGUUCCGAUGAGGGUGUCCACCACUCUCCUAGUACCCUAAAGGUAAGGAAACAAGUGUCACAAGAACCCUACAAACAACACAUAGCUCAAACAUUAAGCUUUUCAAGCUAAGGUGGGAAAAACUCACCGAAAAUGGUGAAUAUCUCUCUUGAUCUCCAAAAGGAGGCAAGAAUCCUUCAAAACCAACCUAAAAGAUGGUUCAAAUAAGAUCAAUCAAGAUCAAAAAGCCUCAACUCGAAAAUCCCCAUUUCUAACCCUAAAAUUCAAAAUCUAGGGUUUCCUCUAACCAAAAUCAACAAAACAUGUAUCAAAUGAAAAAUACAUGUUACUAACCUCUUAAAUAGCCUCAAACCAAGUCCAAAAUCAGCUAGGGUUGGAGGUCUCCUCACAAACAAGCUCCUCUCAAAGCUCCAAGUCUUCAAUCAUGGAGAAAACCCAAUAAAAGCAAAGAAGAGGAGAAGGGAGAGAUCAAAACACCAUAAAAUCCACCAAAAAUAGGGAUCAAACAAGGGAAGGGGAGACUCACCUUGAUCUCCACUGGUUAGGGCUCAAAGAGAGCAGCUAAGGGGGCUGGGGUCACCUAUAUAGGUGUUGUAACAAUUGCAAAUACAUCCCUCCCCGAAACAGCCCGAACUGCACUGCGUACCGGUACACGGGUUUGUGUACCGGUACACAUCCCACGAACCAGCCCAACCCGAGCCUCGGGUUGGCGCUCUGGCUGCCAGGGUCGAUGGCUGUACCGGUACAGCCAUCACCGCGUACCGGUACGCCACCCCGAAAUUUGCAACCCGAGAGCAGCCUAAGUCCUCCACUUUGGCGACCUUAGUGCUACUUGAAAUACCACAAUUCUCGGGAUACGAGCCAUAGGUCUGAACACUGUCUACGACCCACCAGAAAAUCUGGAAAAACUCAUAACACCAGCCAUACACUCGAACCUCGCAGUUUGCAAAGGUCCAGUGCGUUACAUCAGGUGUAAAUUAGCAUUACUCUUGCAUGCUUACUAAACUAGUGGAUUCUAGUUGUGGUUACUAUUUGUUAUAUUGAAAUGCCGAUCGAGGAUCGAGACUGAGAACAUUGCAAAUGAAAAUAUGAUAAUUGAGACAUGUGGAUAGUGGAAUAUGCUUGUUUGCCAUUGUGCUCAUUCACACACGCUUGUGAGGGUCGCUCCCUACAAGCCGGCACUCCGGAGUUGGCCUACGCGACAGUUGCUCGCCCGUGCGGGAUUGGGUGCCGAAGUGGAUUGCCGUGGGGAGUGUAUACUACCACGGGGCCAUUAGGCGCGGCGCAAGCCGGACUACCUUGAGUAGGUCCUUAUGGACGAAAUGAAAGUACUACAUGACAUUUGACAGUAAUGAAUGCUUACCUGUUACAGUAGAUAUUUGCAUAUUCGUGCUUAUGUUCAUGUUAUAUUCAUUACUACAGAGAUUAUGAUUCCAUGUUAAUUACAUGUUCUUCACCUGUUAGCAUUGCAUAUAUAUAUAUAUUAUGCAAUUAUUGCUUUUACUUUCAUUUAGUACAUCAUGAGCCUAGUGGUAUAAUUCGCCGAGGCUGGCUGUUUACCCACUGGGAACUAUUGUUUAUAGUUCUCACGCCCUUUUUAUUGUUAUUUUUACAGAGCCAUCUACAGGAGAGGCUAGGGAUCGUGGCAAGGGAGUCGCGUCUAGCUAGACAUUGCUAGGAGCAUGCUAGUCGAUCACCUUGCUACUCGGGCUACAGCCGAGGGUGAUGUCCUUAUGUAUAGAGAGACUGCCAUUGUAUCUACUUUUGUAGACCCGUGAUGUAUGUGUACUAUUGGGACCUGACUCUAUAGUGGUGAUACUUUUCUUUUAGUUGAGAUUUUGGAUUUUAUACUCCCUGUUCUCUUGUUGUGAGUAUUGUGGACUGUACUUUGCUCUGAUAUCAGGAUAGGAUUAUCUUACCUUUUUACUCCUAUCGACUUGUUUCUUGUAGACGCGACUUAUAUCACCUGCACCGUAAUGGCCGGUCUGUGAACUUAAACUCGGAUUAUGGCUUCCCUGUACGGGCUUUGACAGCAUUGGCCUGUAGUUAACGGUUCUGAUAAUACUUCAGUGGUUUUGAGACGCAAACCCUUGAGUUAACUGUAAGUGAUUCCGGAAUCCAAGCCUACCCGAGUGCAGCGGGCUUGCUAAGUGUAGCAUUUGAGCUAGACAAAGUUCUUGGGCCUGUGGGUGCAUGUGGCAUGUUCCUCUCCCACGCGGGACAGAGACUUCGAGGGCUUGUGAUCUGAGGGCAACGAAGCCAGUGACGGCUACGGUGUAUUGGGCAUGUUCCUCUCCGCCCUACGGGGAUCUCACUGGGCGGGUGUCAUUGCGGCAAUGUCGCUCUCCCACCGGGGGAAUCGCCUUGACCACCGGUGUACGCGCUAACUUUUGGGCGAACCGUUUGCGCGAUGUGGUUCUUGAAAGCCGUAGUUGGAGGUCGGCAUUGUCGAAAGUUCCUUCACCCUCCGAGCAGUGCCGAACAUGAGUGCGGAAUUAUCCCUGUGAUUGACUCAAGACAGAGUCGGGUGGGUAGAGGUGACUUACGUAUGAGUAAGCCUUAAGAAGAAUGGGCAAGUAAAGGAGUUAAGGCUAGCUAAGAAGCAUAAAUACGGCUAAAGACAUAAGGAACNNNNNNNNNNNNNNNNNNNNNNNNNNNNNNNNNNNNNNNNNNNNNNNNNNNNNNNNNNNNNNNNNNNNNNNNNNNNNNNNNNNNNNNNNNNNNNNNNNNNUAACAUACCGUUUCCCCAAUAAGUUGUUCCGAGCUUCCGUCGAAACGAACGAAAUGCGGAUUCGGACGAGUUGGAGAGGUCCGCAAAGUGUUUUAAACGUUCCAGAAUGAAUUAGAGAGGUGUGUGGACCUUGGAGAGCUGCUGGACGAAAUUCUAAAAUUUUCGAAGUUUUGGUGCUCUCGGGGUCCGGACCCUCUGCAGGGUGUGGACCCUAUAGGCGAGAACUGCCCGGUACAGGCUGCCCUGUUUUGAGAAAAAGAGAGGGGCUAAUGUGCAAAUGUGCAUGUGUGUGAGUGUUUAUAAGUGUGGUUAGGGUUGUUAGCCCUCACUUCUCUCACUUCAACCCAACAUGAGAGCUCUCUUUCUCUCUCUAGAUUUCUCUCUCUCUUUCCUUGGGAUGACUCCAAUGGUGGAGACUGGUGGAGAAGAGCUUGCUAGGUGGUGAAGAAACCCUCUCAUGGCAACCUUGCUUGGAGGAAAGCUUCGAUUUGAGAUAAGUAUCCUAAAUUUUGAGGGUUUUGUGGUUAGGGUUUGGUAUUUCCUUCUAGCAUAUGCUUCUAGAGGAUUAUAUGGUGGAUUUCAGCAUGCUUCUGUCACGCCCCGGGAUCCCUUUUUAUUUGAACACAGCGGAAAAAGCGUCUAAAUUUUUUUUUUUUUGAAAACCUGACCCCAGAGUAUGCCAGAUCCGCCACAAAUACAGGGAUUCCACUGUUCACACGGACAGAGUCUUCCCUGUAUUUGCACGGCGUCGCACAAGUACAACAGUACAAACAGGAUACAACCACAACUAAAUGAAUAUAGAAAUAAUUAUUCAUUCAUACAUUCAUACAUUCACCAUUCACAUCACAGAUUUGCAUUUAAUAUUUAAACAUAAAUCCACAGAAAAUUCUUUUGAAAACUGUUUCCUAUACAGAAACCUUUAUCCUUUAAAAGCACUACCACGAGGGGUAGAAAACCUUUCCAUUUCACAAAAUUCACAAAUCCAUUUAUUACAUUCAUGAAAACCCAUAUUUUCAAAUGUAAUAAAAUAUACUGAACCAUAUAAACUAUCUAAGCUAUAUCAACAUAAUAGUAANNNNNNNNNNNNNNNNNNNNNNNNNUGCCAAUAAACGUCUCUUUGACCAAAUGCUGUUGGACUAGAAAAUACAUUCCAUAACAUCAUUAAAACAAGAUCUGGUCAUUCUUCCGCACUCUUAUUACAGUACUAGAGCGCACGACUGUCACCAGGUCUGGCACUGCUGAGCGUAAGUCAAACAAGACAAAUAUUUCUCAAAGCAUACGAACGUUACUUUCGAGCUCUCACCCAAGACAUGGGUAACGAGAAAGCAUUAAUGACACACUUAGUGACAUUAACACCCUUGACAAAGCGAAAGAUAGAUAAACUUUGAAAGUGCUCAGCUCAAAUGUUACGCAUCCCAGAGGAGUACCCAAAUAUCUGACCUGUCUUUGCAAUUUUAAUCUUCCACUAACCUUUGCAAAGUCAGUGCUCGCCUCCAAUCAGGUGCAAAUCUACAAUACCAUUGAGCAGCGAUUAAAUGAAAUGUAAAGUGAACAUCGAAGCCUGUAUAUCCUACCCUAUCAAGAUUUCAGCUCGUGUAAUUUAUCGAACCAUAAGCAUCACAAAAUGAUUUCACAUUAAGGCGACAAUUGAAUCUCAGGAAAUAAAAUCUGUGCUUGAUUUGUGCAAUAAUAUUAGAUUAGCUAGAUCAUGUCACGUAUAUCCCUGUCAAUCUGCAACAAUACAGAAUAUCUCUUGCGUAAUAAAUGCAGUCCAGAUCUCUAUCGAAUAACCUCUCCAUAGCACUAUGGUCGUACUGGCAGGUGAUUCAUCGAAAGUCUGCUCAUGGCAUCAUGAGGCAAAUGCAGUACCGUGAGGCUCAAACGAGCAGCACAAGAAGCGGCAAUUCACUAGGUGAAGACAGAUUCCUCUGACAACUAGUGAACAAACUGUCGUACAACACAUAUUUCGCGACAAAGGAUCGCAAGGUAAUGGUAGAAAUCUAAACUUUUGUGAGAAUACGUGUACGUAUACCAACCUUUGCAAAUUGAUAGAACAACUCAUAUUGAUACUAUUCUAGCAUACACAUAGGAAAGAUACAUCAAUCAAGAUCCCAAAUAAAUGAUCAUAUUAGCCUGUAUCGUCGGCCAAUAAAGCUACAAAUGCUAUUGCCCUCUGGCAAAGCGAGAUACAAUAACAAGCGAAUAAGACCAAUACAAGUGGCAGUUAAGAGGACGUAUCCAACAUUUUAUGCCUGCAGCAUCUUCUAAUCUAGGAAUCAGAUCCUCACACGUGCUGGCGCCGUGCCAUGAGUGUCUAUGCUCUUGAGUGAUGUGAACACGCCCGAGUCGUGUGAGAUUUCCAGCCUGAACCAGUUCGAGACGACAAUGUUAAUCUUGCUCUCUGUACCCCCAAAAAGAUAACUUAAAACAUGUCAUCUCACUAUUGCUUGAGGAAAUGACUAGUUAAGCAUUUUGUUCGCAAACUCUAGACUGAGCUGCACGACCAUAUAGAACAACUCGUCCAGUGCAUGUAAUCGUUUCUUCUCCACUACAAACCAUCACGCCACGUCUAUGGAUAUCAACUCUCCGUGCUCUAGGGGUGCUCAAUACGUGAGGACAAAUAGGUGAUGAAGGGUCUGUCGUCACCUCAGUCAGGGCAACCAACUGUGCACGUCAGCAUCAGGGGAUGCGCAUGCCUAGGUCGCGACACCGUCGCUCCAACAACAGGGGUGCACCUCGCCUCCGGUCUGUCGGGCCUGCUCUCCAUGUCGAGGUACUCUGCUCACAUCUGCUCAGGUCUCUCAGGGGCAUCCCGCACGAUCCCCGCGCCAACUGGGCACCUCUCGCACGACGGUCGACCUCGGCGAUGAUACAUAGCUGAAAGAACAAAUCGGGGUCAGAUACAACCGCACACUACUCCGACCCAAUCAACGAAAGUCUAUGAAGGUGGUCCCUGUUUCCUCCAAAAUACGUCGUCUGCAGGCAAAUAAUUUCUCAGGCCAAAACAGAACUCCUUCAAUCACUCACGACCCACUCUAGGAGGAGUUAGAAUCGGAUAACAUUGACUUUCGGCAAUAAAAUUACCCUCUACGGCGUCUUACUUUCCUAAAAGGUUUGCCCAAUUAAGGUUCUGCCUCAGGUCCCAACGACCCUAUAGCAACGGCUCCUGAUAUAACAUUAAAAUCUGUCACGCCGCCGAUAUCUCGUUCCCGGCAUGUGGCGCCGACAAAUCCGCCGUAUACAAAAGGAAUUUCCCGCUGUAUACGAAGCGCAAAGUACUGAAGAAUAUACGAUACUAACAUACAGUAGCAUAGAGCCUCAACAAAGACUAAAUAAUGAGUUCAUAUACAUAGCUAGAAUCCAAAAUACAAGGCGCUACUCGCAUUGGCGAGUCUAAACAACUAUGUAGCAUAACUCCAAAACAACAACUAACCUGGGGCAGUAGGGAAGCCCUCGUAGCUCUGACUGUCGGGUAGGGCUCUAGCUGCGCAACGCCUCCUCGCUCGAUCCUGGUCGUCGGAAGAUGCAGCAGCCGGCACCUGUGACUACUACAAAAACAUAAGUAACACGAGGCACCGUCGUGAUUGAAUUCCGAACCGAAACCUGCGUUCUAAGUCGACGGAUUUCGCCGAAAAACGCAUCGAAAAUCACUUUUCGAUUCGCGCAAGGGCUUGGGGCCUUGGACGAUCAGUCCAGAGGUUAUCGCUCGAGCCCAAACAUGCUGCCUAACAGCAAUCUACACGAAGCAAAGUCCUAAAAGCCGCCAUACCGAUACAUGAAAUCCGCAUCAUUUUAUGGUGCUUUCUAGCUCUUUUCUGUGACGCGUGCACACAAACGCAGAGUCGAUUAUACCGACGUCGCACUUUGCUGACAGGUUUCAUCAGUCGGAGGCCCGUGCUCCUACCUUCGGACACUGCGGACCACUGCGGUGCGCGCCGGAGUGACACAAUUAUGAAACCAGUGCGCACAGCGCGAAAGGUCGCGACUAACUUGCUAACCAGUACAUUUUUGCUCGCUGUGAGUGAGCAUCGUGUUCAGGCACGACACCCUAGACCAUCGUGCUCAUUUCUCCGGGUGUCGGGAAGUCAUCGGAUCACCGGAAAGGUGCCAGAAAGCUUAAUUUGCAAUGCUGGAACUCAAAAGCAGGCAUACCGGAGCAGUUGGGAGCUAGGGUUUGGUCGCACGGGCGGCGCGGAGGGCGGGCACUCCGGUGGGAUGGAGCAGACGGUCCGACGAGGCCCGGGGAGGGUGCUGGCCGGCGCGCGGGCGGCAAACUCGGUGGGCGCGGACGGAGAUCGACUCCGCGCGCAGUCCCCUCUCGAUUGCUAAUGGCUUCCGCGGCGGCAGGCGACGAGGAGAAGUCGGGCGGGCUUACGGUGCGCCGGGCGGCCGGGCGCGAGGGGAGGGCGGUGCACCCCUGGUGGGCGGCGGCGGCGCUUGGAAGCCGAGAGCGGGCCCGACCUCAGGCCCGCACAGGUCUGGCGCCACGAGAAGGUUCACGUGGCGGGCGGCGCGCGCGGGACGGCGGAGGACGCGCACGUCCGGUUGCCGGAGGUCGCCGGCCAAAAGGAGGCACGUCGUGGCCGAGAGGAAGCGUGGUCGCAGAGUGCUUGAGCCGGCUCGGACAGGCUGACUCCGAGUUGGCCGCAGGAGAGAGGGUGGCUCCGGCGGCGCUCGGGUGGCCGGGGCCGCGGGGGAAGCCGGGGAAUGGGUCUCGGCCAGGGAAAGAUGGGCUCGGCUUUGGAUCUUCCCCAACACAGACGGAUCGAAGAUGUGGCAAGUCGGGGCUAGAGGGGAACCGGAGAGAAGGUUGGGGUGGCUUUUCCGGCAGCGGAGCAGCUCGCCGCUGCCGGGGCGUGAGCACUGGUUGGGCAGUGGUGGAGCGGGCCGGCGCUGUAGCAAGCUAGAAGAAAUUAGGGUUAGGGUCCCUGGUUGAACCUUAGAACUAUUUUUAUUCUAUGUGUACAAUUGCGGAGAACACCCUCCUAGUCAAGUAAUUCUUACAAGCCCGCGCGCCAGCAUGUGGAUUAUGCGUAUAGGGUCGCCUCGAACUUCCGAAUUCGCAGCAAGACCACGCAAAAAUAAGUUGGACGCUUUUCGCGAAUAAUCGAUUUUGCCAACCUUGACGUCUCUCAGGCGGAACUUUUCCGAUUCCGAAAGAUCGUUCGUCGGGAUUUCGAUCCGACUGAGCCAAUUCGGCGUUCAGUAGCAAACGGGAGCACGGAAACUACGAUUUCAAUUCUUAUCAUCCAAUUUGGCAGGCUUUCGCGACGGAACCCAUCCGCUCUCUAAUUAAUCCAUAUAUCGUACGUAUACCAAUGUGUAAACCCAUUAAACCAACUUUCGCAUUAGAAAUUGACUUCCCUACCACUAGUAGGGACCCGAAACAUUCUUCACCCUACUCCAGGUCACAAGCACGGAGCACGAGAAGCUUUAGAAUGCACAAAAAAAGCAAAGAGCGAAAACCCUCUUUUCGGUAAAACUCCUUUUUCUCGAAAACCGUGCAUCAGAUCUAAAAUCCGUCAGUGCCAUUGGUUUCAGAAUAGCUGAACCGAUCGAAACGAGCUAUUGGAUCGCUAUGAACAGAGUCCGAUACAUGCCGAAAGCCAACUCUACUCCGUAGCUUCUCCGAAAAAAUCGGGUUACUAUUCACUUUAAGUGAAAACUAAUAAUCACGUAACUUCUCCGUUCUAGCUCAUUUUCUCCUGAAACUUGAUGAGUGCUUAUGUAAUUAAAUUACACACAUAAACAUCAUCAACAGAGAGUUUAGUUGCACUGUAAAAAAUCUCAGUCCUUACAGCUUCUCUAUAUCUAGGGACCUAAUUGGAGAAGAUGAUUAAGUAGAGGGGCUUAUGUUAGGGUUUGGUUCAAAUGAGAUCCAAAUGAGUGAUUGAUCUUUUGUUACCCUAAUUGCUAGGCAAGCGAAUGUGUUGGUGAACUCGGUUCGGCGAUCCAACAAGUCUAUGCGGAGAAAUAAAAGGAAAAGCCUGUUUUGGCUCAGUUUUGCUGCAGUCGAGAGAAAUCGGCGUCCAAAAAUCGCGGGACUUGAAUCGUGGUCUUCUAGCAUCACUACAGGUGAGGGGUGCUAUCCGGAAUCGUUGAAUUUUUUUCUAUGUCUAUGUCGCCUUUUCUUGAGCAUAUAUGUGCGUUAUGACAUUCAUGCAUUGCAGAGUGGUGGGCUAUUGUUGGGAAUUAUGUAUAUGCUUUCAAUGUUGGUGAAUAUAUGAAUUGAUUAGUGGACCAUACACGUGAACCCUAUGAAUGUACGAAAUGAAUGUGGACUAUGAUUGUAGUAAACAAGGGUGACAUUGACAUUAGCUAAAAUGAAUUAUGUUGUAUGCUAGAUAAGGUAAAACCUUAAAAGCAUUGUGAGAUGUUGGAUUAUAAUGUUAGUAAACAUUAUGGGCAUUGAUAAAUGUUGAACUAUAAUAAUAAUGAGUAUUGUGGCAAGUGUGGCCCUGGAUAUUGUGGCUUGGUGAUAUUAGUGGCAUUAUGACAAUGUAACAUAGUGACCUUAUGUCACGCCCCGGGACCCAGCGGAAGCCCGCCCGGCGCGUGCUCAGACCCGCCAUACGUCUAAAACGUAUAAGGCGUCUAAGAACAACAAUAAUAAAAGCAAUAAUAAAAGACAUUUAGGAGUAUCAGAGCAUAAUAAAUGUCUAAAUGCUAUAACCAGGGAUAAGGAUAAAACUGUAAAUCCACUAAAUAAAACAUAAAGUGAUACAAGGAAAUCCCAGAUACAAGUGCUAUAGGUAGAUACAUAGGUGGUCUCUAUACAUGGAUACAAAAACCUCUCACUCUCUCUACUACAAAAAGAAAGAGUAAACCACCUAGGCAAAGUACCGCUCCUCACUAGCUAGCUAAGCGAUCCCCUUGCCGCGAUCCCGUGCCUCCGCCGGUGCCGAAGGCUCUGAAAGUAAACCAUAAAACAGGGGCGUGAGAACUAUUAAAAAUAGUUCCCAGUGGGCAAUUACUGACUUCAGUGAAUGCACCACGAGGCCCAAAGCUACAAAAGAUGUCAGUGACUAACAAUGUAGUAAAGCGAAAGGUAAGUAAAAUGUAACUCACUAUAACAUGGAAUUUCUACUUAGCAUGAUUUGCACAAGUAAUGAAGCAACGAUAUCAUGAAUGUACAAGGAUGUGUAUGACAUGCAUAAGCACAGAAAUUCAACUAAUCCGAUGUUCUCAAUGCAGAAAUAGUAAAGAUGCCAUUGUUUACUAUUCUAGCCCAAGUUCACUUUAAUAGUUUUAAAGUUCACAUAGCACGUUCUGUCACUAAGUCCCAAUCAUAUAAGACCCACCCGAAGGCUGUCUGGCCUGCGCCGUGCCUAAUGGCCCCGUGGUAGUCAACAUCCCCACUCUAGGAAUGAGCCUCCCCCACGGCAAUCCACUUCGGCGCCCAAUCCCGCACGGCGAGCAUGUGUCGCGAUGGCUAUCUCCGGAGUGCCGGCUUGUAGGGAGCGACCCUCACAAGCAUGUGCGAAUGAGCACAAAUGGCAAGCAAACAAUGAUCUGUCUCAAGUACCAAGUCCUCAUGUCUAAAAAUAUGGAAUAUAUCAAGUAUCUCAAUGGCCUAUCUCUAUGUCAUCAUGUCUCUAACAUGGAAUAUAGCAGAUACGUAAUGGCCUAUCAAUAUGUCUCUAUGUUGCAGUUUAAAUGUUUACUAGUUCCCAAGUGCCUCUUGAUGACACUUUUUGCUACUAAGUUCAAAUAUAGUAUAAUGUUUCCCAUACAUGAACAUGAGCUAAAUUAGCAUACUAGACGAGAAUCUCAUUCGUCCACAUGAACCCACCCCACAUGCAUGACAAUAACCUUAAUUACUCUACCAUAUAGAGUGAAAUUUAACUUACACAUAGGGCAUGUAUUUUAGGUGUUCUAAAAUUCACAUAAAUUCCAAUUAGCAUAGGAAUGCAUUUAAAAAUAAUUUACGAAGAGUUUAAAAUGAAUAGGGGCCAUUUCGCCCCAUCUCCANAAAACUCUUGCAACUCUUCGUAAGCUCCGACGAAGAUGCCCACUAGCCUCCUAGCACCCUAAAGAUGUAGGAACAAGGGUUAAACGAACCUUACGAUUAACCCUAAACUCAAUCAAUAAGCAACAUAGGCUAAGAUGGAGAAAAACUCACCUAGGUGAAGAAAUUCUCUCUCUAGCUCCAAAUGGGAGUUAGAGUUCUUCAAAUCCAACCUAAAUAAAGGUUCCAAACCCAUCAAUUAGGUCUCAAAACCCCCAAAUCCAAAAACCCCCAAAAUAAACCCUAAAUCCCAAAAUCCAGGGUUUCAUCUAGUAAAACCUAGAAAAACUGUAUCAAAUGGGGAUUACAAGCUACCAACCUCAAAAGAAGCUCCAAUCCAAGCUCAAAACCAAGUAGGGUUGAAGUUUGAUCCUCCACAAAGCUCCAACCGCAAGUUCCAAGCCACCAAAGUGAGAAAUGGGGAAGAAGAUGAUGCUCCAAAGCCUCCAAGCAAGCUCCUUCUCUUCUUCUUCUUCUUCUUCUUCUUCUUCUUCUUCUCCCUCUCUUCUUCUCUCUCUAGAAUAGGUGGGAAGGGAAGAAAUGAGGAGAGAAGAGGGUGAAAUGGCCAAAUAGGCCAUUAAAAGCAACAAAAUCCACUUAGGUCCCUCAAAAACUCAAAUUUACAUCAGCCCGGUCUGGGCAGUUUUCGCCCAGAGGGACCGGUCUCCCCGACCUGGGAUCGGUCUCUCAGCCUGCCCCCGAAAAUCCAACGUUCGGGAACCGGUCUCUCCCUGCGCGGGACCGGUCUCUCCCCGCGCAGACGUGCUCGGGGACCGGUCUCAACUGCCAGGGACCGGUUGCCUCGCCGGCUGCGCAGCACUGUUCACUGGGGGACCGGCCUCUCCUAUCAGGGACCAGUCCCUGAGAGUAAAAACUCUCAGGACUCAGCCAAAACUCUCGAGAUCGAACUUUUAGGCCGGUAUACCAUCGACGGCCCUCCACCAAGUGUGGAAAUGUUCGGAAUACAAAUCGAACACUCGAACCUCGCAAUUUGCAAAGGUCCAGUGUGCUACACCUUAUGACAUAAUAUGCUAGGGAGGGUAAACCCUUAUGAGCAUUAUGAGAAUUGUGGCAAGAGUGGCCAAGUAUGUGACAUACUAGACAAGGUAAAAUCCUUUUAUGCAUUGUGGCAAUAUAGCAAGUGUGGCUAUACGUCCUCAAAUUGAGGAUUGGAUCGAUAUUCACAUUGAGUCUUGGCUUGAGGAAGGUAGCUCCCCCUCGAGCGGUUCGCUCCGGAGUUGGUCACCACUGGACGAGGUAAAGUCCCCUCAGAAGACGGUCCCUCGGGCAUGGUAAAGUCCCCUCGAUCGAUAGGAAUUUUGGGUUGUGAGUUUUGGGGUUAACAAGUGUUAACCGGGUUGAUUGGGUAAAAGCCAAGGAAAGUGAAUGUGAAAAAGUAUGCAUGCAUUAUCAUUAUGAUUAUCUUACUUGUUGGAUUUAUUAUUGUUUAGGCAUUGUAAUAGCUUUGUAUUAGUUGGUUUGCAAUCUAUCUAUUAUUUUCUUACAUAUGCCUGAGUAGACCUAGUGGGCGAGUCGGCGGUGUUAGCGGCCGAACCAUUGGAAACUUUGUUGUAAUUCUCAUCCCACUAACCAUGCAGGUUCUAGCGCGAGCAGGGCGAUCGUGGCUCGUGGCAUGGUUAUCGUGCUCUAGGUAGCGGACUACCAUUGUGUAUAGAGCCACCCGUUGUAUUUCAUCUAUUAUGUUCGAUGAAUGAAAAUGUAAUAAAAUCAUGUAAGAGAUGGUAAUGUAUAUUGGAUGAAUGAUUGUAAAGCAAAUGUAUAAGCUUUGUAUUUGAUUGAAAGUGAUCAAGUUACAAUGUAUGAUGUAAUAGUUAGAUUGCUUUCACUUGUGGUUGUUGUUGCUUGCUCUCGAGCAAGCAAUGUAUACUCGCAUUCUUAUAUUUGAAUUGUUACUGUUACACAUGUGUUGGUAGAGCCUUGGGCGGACAGGAGAGGUGCUGUCCGUUCGGCGUCUGUUGACGUGCCCGAACCGACCAAAUUGGCGGUCGUAGGGCGUGACAGGGGGCCAAUUGCAAAAAAAGCCUUGAGUUUUAUUUUGGCCCACAGUGGCGUAAAUGCGAUGGUGAUAUAUAUAUAUAUAUAUAUAUAUAUAUAUAUAUAUAUAUAUAUAUAUAACCGUGCCCUCAAUACCAGCCGUGGAAUUUCGCAUCCACGACUAUUGUGGCGUGACGAGAGAAAGGAAUCUGCAACUACAGAAGCCGUUCGUUUCCGCAUAAAAUUGUAAAAACAUAGUUUUGUUCGUGACCUCGCCCUUCAUACCAGCUGUCGGAUUUUUCAUCCACGGUUGUUGUCGCUUGAUGAGAAAAAAAAAUCCGCAAUCCCAGGAGCUGUUUGUUUUCACACAAAAUUUUGAAAGGAUGAUUUUUGUAAUGACCAUGCCCUUUGAUACCAACCGCUGGAUUUCUCAUCCACGGCUGUUGUUGCGUGACGAGAGAAGGGAAUCCCCCAUCUCAGAAGUUGUUUGUUUCCAUGUAAAAUUUUGAAAAAAAUAAUUUUGGCGAUGACCAUCAUACUAGCCGUAGGAUUUCUCAUCCAUGGUUGAGAAAAAGAAUUCAUAACUUCAGGAGCUGUUUGUUUCCACAAAAAAAAAAAUGGAAAAGAAUUUUUGGCGCCACCAUGACCUUGAUACUAGAAGGAGUUGUUUGUUUUCGCAUAAAACUAUAAAAAAAAUAAUAACUCUUUAGCAUUUUUUUUUUUGAGAGAAAGGUAGCAUGCUACCCGCUUCGUUUAUUUCAUUUAGAAAUAACUUAGCUGGAAAUGUGAAUCAACUAGGAUUUGAACUUGGGUCUCGGGUAUCAACCACCAAGUCCUUUUGCCACUUGCGCCAGGGACGGUCGGUAACUUUCUUUAGCAUUAGUGCCUGUUCGUAUUGGUUGGAAAAGUAUAUACAAAUUUUACAUAUAAAAUUACAUGGCCAAUUUGCAUAAAAAAUUCAUAAAUUUUGAGCUUUUGCAAAACUGGGCUGCCUUUUUUUAUUUUGCAGAUUCGGUCCGAAUUUUCAGCAAACUGACCAAAAUACCCUUAUUACUUUUUCUCUCUCCUCUUUCUCUCUCAUCUUCUUUUCUCUCGUUUAUUUUUUUUUCUCUCGCCGAAGAAAGCAGCGGAGGUAGAGGCAGAGGCGGAAACGGCCCACCUAGCCUCUCACCCUUAUGCUCUCGCCCUCGUCUUUUACCUCGCCCGCGCACCCCCCACCUUCCUCGCCUACUACCCGUCGAGCCCGCGCCGCUACUCUUUUUUUUUUUUUUUUUUUUUUUUUUNNNNNNNNUUUUUUUUUCUCUCUGACUCUCCUCCACCGUCUCCGACGACGACGCCUCUCUCGCCCUUCCCCGCCCUUCUCGUCCUCUCCUUCUCCCUCCUCCUCUGUUGUCUCCGACGACGACGCAUCUUCGUCGACGCCGACACCGUGAAAGUCGCUGCGGCGCUGCACCCUCGGAGCGGCGGGUCCUUAACGGCAUCGUCGCCGGCGCUGGCGUCGUGGCCGUUGGCAGAGAGGGAUGACAAAAAAAAAUUAUAGAAGAAGCAAAAAAAAAAAGAUAAAAAAUUAUAGAAAAAGAAAGAUGAAAAUAAAAUUGCAUCGUAAAAAUAAAAUUACACUAUUUUAAAAGAACGUUGCACUAUUAUGAACAUAAGUUGCAUUAUUUAAGAUGUAAACUGCAGUUUUAAGAUAAAAAUUACACUCUUUAAAUGAAAAUUACAUUCUUUGGGAGAUAUUUAUAUUGUUUCUCCUCUUAUUGUACUCUUUCAGAUGUAAAUUGAUUCCAUUAAGAUAAAAGUUAUAUUUUUUAAACGAAAGUUGCACUCUUUGAGAGAUAUUUGCAUUAUUUUUUCUCUUCUUGCACCAUUUGAGAUGUAAACUGCAUCUCUUUAAGAGAUAUUUAUACUGUAUCUCUUCUUGUUGCACUGUUUUUUUUCUUGUUGCACUAUGUCUCAUCUUAUUGCACUGUUUCUCCUCUUAAAGGUGCAGUUUAAGAGGAAAAACAGUGUAACAAGAGGAGAAAUAGUGCAGCAAGAGGAGGAACAGUGCAACAAGAGGAGAAACAGUAUAAAUAUCUCUUAAAGGGAUGCGGUUUAAAUCUCAAUGGGUGCAAGAAGAGAAAAAAUAGUAUAAAUAUCUUUCAAAGAGUGCAACUUUAGUUUAAAGAGUGUAACUUUUAUCUUAAUAGAUGCAGUAUACAUCUAAAAGAGUGCAAUAAGAGGAGAAACAGUGUAAAUAUCUCCAAAAAGUGUAAUUUUCAUUUAAAGAGUGUAAUUUUCAUCUUAAAGCUGCAGUUUACAUCUUAAGUAGUGCAACUUAUAUCCAUAAUAGUGCAACGUUCUUUUAAAAUAGUACAAUUUAUUUUAACGAUGUAAUUUUAUUUUCAUCUUUCUUUUUCUAUAAUUUUUUAUAUUUUUUUUUUCUUGCUUCUUCUAUAAUUUUUUUUUUAUCACCCCCCUCUGCCAACGGACACGGCGCCGGUGACGACGCUGCUAAGAACCCUCCGCUCCGAGGCUGCAGUGCCGCAGCGACCUUUACGGUAUCGGCGUCGGCGAAGAUGCGUCGUCAUCAGAGGCGGCAGAGGAGGAGGGAAAGGGAGAGGACGAGAAGGUCGGGAAAGGGCGAGAGAGGCGUCGUUGUCGAAGACGGUGGAGGAGAGUCGGAGAGGAAAACAAAAAAAUGAGUCGCGGUGCGGUCUCGGCAGGGUCGGAGGCGAGGAAGGUGGGGGUGCGCGGGGGCGGGUGCGGGCGCGGGCGAGGGCGAGAGCAUGAGGGUGAGAGGCGAGGUGGGCCAUUUCCGUUUCCACCUCUGCCUCCGCUGCCUCUUCGGCGAGAGAAAAAAAAUUGAACGAGAGAAAAAAAAAAAAGGAGAGAGAAAGAGGAAAGAGAAAAAGAUAUAAAGGUAUUUUGGUUAGUUUGCUGAAAAUCUGGUCCGAAUCUACAAAAUCGAAAAAAGUGGUCCACGUUUGCAAAAGCGCAAAACUAGUGGAUUUUUUAUGCAAAAUGACCAAAUUACAUUACAUAAUUUUAUUUUCUAUAUUAAAUUAUAUAAAUAUAAAAAAUUUAUUUAUAUAUCCCUAACAGGUGGAGGAAGAAAAUAUUCUCGUGCACCCAAUCUACCGCAUCAUCAGCCAUGUAGGCACAAUAAAUUAUUCUUCAAUUUUUUUUAUUAGGUUAUGUUAGUACAUCAGAAGCAGAUAUUCCGAUAAAUCUUAUUCGGCACAAAAUUUUUCUUACAUGGUUAGAAUUUAGAAGUUUAAUUGCCGUUGGUAUUCAUGAUUGUAUAGAAUUAUAUAUUUUAUCUUCGAAAUGAUUUACUUUAUUUCACAAAAGCUUAAAACAAAAUAUUAUAUUCAUUCUUUGAAUUUGAUCCUCUUGUCAUCUAUCAAAUUUUAUAUACGGGAUUUUUUUGCAUCUAGCCCCUUAAAAAAAAUUAUUUUAAAAAUAGCCUCAAUAAAUUUAUAUUUGUACUUUUGGCCCUGACCCUACCACGCAGAUGCCACGUCAGCGUCACACCAGCGGGGCUGGGCCAGGGUGUUAAGUUGAAUACGGUGAACCAUUCACCGUGGCCAAACACGGUAAAUGGUAUACUGUGUCUAGAGAAAAUACAAAUAUAUGUAUUUUUUGCAAUAUAAAUAUUGAAAAGAGGAAUAAAUAGUAAGGAUGUCAAUAGGUAUGGAUAUCUGAAAUAUUAUCCGAACCCAAACCCUAAUAAAUUAUUUAUAUACAUAAUUUAUUUUUAUUUUUGACCAAUUUGCAUAAAAAAUCCACUAAUUUUGGGCUUUUGCAAAAGUGGGCCACCUUUUUCGUUUUUGCAGAUUCGGUCCUAUUUUUCAGUAAACUGACAAAAAUACCUUUAUAUCUUUUUCUCUCUCCUAUUUUUUUCUCUCUCGUUCUUUUUUUCUUUCUCUUCCUAGAGAGCGGCGGAGGCGGAAGUGGAGGCGGAGGCGGUUCGCUUCGGUUUUCUCCGGCGCAUCCUUACCCUCACCUGCACCACCCCCCCUGCCUUCCUCGCCUCCGACCUCACCGAGACCGUGAUGUGACUAUUUUUUUUUCCCUCUCCGACCCUCCUCCACCGCCUCCGACGACUAUGCCUAUCUCACCCUCUCUCGCCCUUCUUGCCCUUUCCCUCUCCCUCCUCCUUCACCUCCUCCGCCGCCUCCAACGACGAUGCCUCUCCGCUGACAUCGGCGCCGCGGAGGUCGUUGUGGCGCUGCAGCCUAGGAGCGGGGGGUUUUUAGCCGCGUAGUCGCCGGCGCCAUGGCUGUUGGCGGAGAGGCGUGACAAAAAAAAAUUAUAAAAGAAGGAGGAAGAAAAAAAUAAAGACAAAAUAUUAUAUAAGAAGGAAGAAGAAGAUGAAAUUGUAUUGUUAAAAUAAGAUGACACUAUUUUGAAACAAAUUUGUACUAUUUUAAUAAAAAUUAUACUAUUUGAUAUAGAAAUUACACUCUUUUGGAAUAGAUUUUACACUCUUUAGGCUAACGUUGCACUAUUUAGGAGAAUUUUGCACCAUUUCUUUUUUUUUUCUUUUUCUUUUUCUCUUCUCCUUCUUCUUCUUCCGCUGCUGCCUCCCGCCCGGCCCGAGGUCCCUUCCCGUUGUCAGGGCCCUGGAGCGGGGAGGCGCCCUCGUCGCCGGCGACUUUCGGGGCAGUUGGCGGCCCCGGAGCCUGCCGGCGGGUACUUCGUCGCCGUCGCUGCUGCCGUCGCCGUGGACGGCGAGGCCGCCCUAGUUGAUGGCGACCUUCUCGACGAGGCCUACAGAAGGGCGACGGCGCGAUCGGCCCCGCGCGGGGAGGCGCUCCUGAUCUCGGCCCGGGCGAGCGAGAGGCAGCAGCAGAAGAAGAAGAAAAAGAGAAAGAGAAAAAGAAAAUGAAAAGAAAUGGUGCAAAAUUCUCCUAAAUAGUGCAACAUUAGCCUUAAGAGUGUAAAAUCCAUUACAAAAGAGUGUAAUUUCUAUAUCAAAUAGUGUAAUUUUUAUUAAAAUAGUUCAAAAAAAUCCUAGCAAUAAUCUUUUAAAAAAAUUGCAUGAGUUUCAAAAGGAAAGAUAGGUGUCGAAUUUAUUUUAAAACAGUGUAAUCUUAUUUUAACAGUGCAAUAUCAUCAUCUUCUUCAUUCUUAUAUAAUUUUUUGUCUUUCUUUUUUUCUUCUUCCUUCUUUUAUAAUUUUUUUUUGUCACGCCUCUCCGCCAAUGGCCACGGCGCCGGCGACGCUGCCACUAAAGACCCCCCGCUCUGAGACUGCGGUGCCGCAGCGACCUCCGCGGCGCCGAUGUCAACGGAGAGGCGUCGUUGUUGGAGGCGGUGGAGGAAGCGAAGGAGGACGGAGAGGGAAAAGGCGAGAAAGGCGAGAGAGGGUGAGAUAGGCAUCGUCGUCGGAGGCGGUGGAGAAGGGUCGGAUAGGGGAAAAAAAAAAGUCACAGCGCAACCUCGGUGGGGUCGGAGGUGAAGAAGGCGGGGGGUGCGCGGGCGAGGGUAAGGAUGCAUCGAACAAAACCGAAGCAUGCUACCUCCGCCUCCGCCUCUACCUCGGCCGCUCUCUUGGAAGAGAAAGAAAAAAUGAACGAGAGAAAAAAAAAAAGAGGAGAGAGAAAAAGGUACAAGAGUAUUUUGGUCAGUUUGCUGAAAAAUCGGACCGAAUCUACAAAAACGAAAAAGAUGGCCCACUUUCACAAAACCCCAAAAUUAGUGGAUUUUUUAAGCAAAUUGGCCUUUAAUUUUUUAUACAAUAUAUAAAAUAUUUAAUAAUUUUUAUUCCUUAGAUCUUCAUCCAACGGUAUAGAUUUUUAAAACCCGCCAGGUUCGGGUUUCGAGUUUUUGGUCGGGUAUAGAUAUGGGUAUGGAUUUUUAAAACCCAUCGGGUUCGGAUCCGGGUUUGGGUUUUAAUUUGAUUUUCGGGUUCGGGUUCAGGUUUUUGAAAAUCUGGCCCGUUGACAUCCCUAAUAGGGAGAAUAUAAGUACGGAAUACGGUGAAUCAUUCACCGUGCUUGAACACGGUGAAUGGUUUACCGUGUCUAGAAAAAAUAUAUGUAUUGCGAAAAAUAUAAAUGUUGAAAAAGAGAAGAAAAAAAAAAAAAUGAAACACCGUGUUUGAACACGGUGAAUGAUUCACCGUGUUCAACUUGCCAAGCAGGCCCCAGCUCGCUCAUGUGGUGCUUGCGUGGCGCCUGCGUGGCAGGAUAGGGCCAUUUUUUUAAAUAUAAAUUUGUUGGGACUAAUUUUAAAAUAAAUUUUUUUCAGGAGACCAUUUGCAAAAAAAAACUCAUAUUUUUAUUAUCUUAUAUAAUAUUCAUAACUAAUAAAUUUAUUAAUUUAUUAAAUUAUUUUUAAUUAAUACUUUGAUGUUAAUUAAUUAGAUAAAUUAUUUUUAAUUUAAAAUUAUAACACUUAUUCAUCUUAUUCCAAUCUAACUAUUCAAAUAUUAUUUAUCUUAGUAGGAAUAAAUUUAAUUUUCUUUUAAAUACAAAAAAAAUCUAAUUGUUGCUUAUAUCUAAAUUUAUAUUUAUUUUUUAAAUAAAUAAAUUUUUAUUUAUAUUCGAAUCAAAUGCAGCGUAAGAGAAAACCGCACCACAGGUGGGUGACCACUCUCUUUUGGAAUCCGCCCCGUUUGCAUUCUGAUUAAACCUACAUCAACAUUCGGGCCCUCCGCUGCUCCAGCUUCGGCAAAAGCUAACCGGUUCCCGAGCACACUCCAUCCUCCUUAUCCGCUCGUUCCCACCCUACUGCUCACUCCGCCCCCCGCGCCCGCUUCGUCGCCCGCCGCUCCGAGUCCAUCUCCGUCCGCCAGCUCCAGCGCCCUCUCAGUAUAUCAUCAUCACCAUCAUCAUCAUCAUUCUCUUCCGUCCGUUAAUCCCCACCACCCCUUCCCCCCUUCCAAACCUCUCUUCUCAAUUUCUAAUGCUGUGAUGCUGCUGUCUUGUUGUUCUGCAGUCGAGUACAUGCGGCUGCCGGCCAGCCAGUACUCCGUGCUGGACGCCGAGCGCAUCGAGCGCGUCGACGACCGCACCUUCCGCUGCUACGUCUACCGCAUCAAGUUCUUCGCCUUCGAGGUCUGCCCCGUCCUCCUCGUCCGCGUCGACGAGCACCCCUUCGGCUGCUGCAUCACCCUCCUCUCUUGCAAGGUACCUUUUACCAACCACUCCUGCUCCUCCCCCCCUUGCCUUUUUCCUUUUUCUUGAAUAAUAAUUUCGAUUGAGAAAUUCUUGCCGAAAUGCUAGUUGGAGGGCUCCCCGCUCGUCGAAGCUCAGAAUGAUAAAUUUUCAGGUAAUCUUCGCUUUCUGUACUGCGGCUCUCUUAAUUUCGCUUCAAGAAGAUUCAUAUCGAAACGGAUAUCUAUCUCGUAGAAUUGCCAAAGAUCUGGUUUGUUUGUUUGAUGGGGGAAAGUAGCGGAAGCGGCAGUAACGAACUUUCAACUUUCUGCGGAUUUGUUGUAUCAAAUGGCUUCGAAAGCAAUGUCGACAGAACUAUGUUCGACUGAACGUCAGCCCUCGGUUUGGAUACUGUUGGUUGUUUCUUAGCAGACAAGGAGGAGAUCAUUGUUGAUCCGAGGAGAUCAAUGCCGCUAAUACCUUUUAAUAGGAGCCCAUAUAAAGCUUUUUAUUUGUGGACAGCGUCAAAUUAGCUUGAUUGCUUUUGUGCGCCCUUGAACUGGAAAAGAAUAGGUUGGGUCUUAUGUAGGUCGAGUAUUGUACGAUCCCAAUAGUGCUCCUGUGUGGAGAAGGAUCCAACUUUUAGAGAGCGGAGUGGCCGGUUAAACUGGGUUGAUUAGGAAGUGGUUUGACUGCUGUUUCGGUCGGACUUUAAGAAUCGUUUCAUGAAAAAUUUGUAAAUUGGGUCGUGAGCUGGCUAAAACGGCUGGUUGGUUAGCCCUGUUAGAAUGAAAAGCAAAUAAGAAACACUGCAAUCUGUGCAUUGUUGUUCAAACUUUGAACCUUCCAGAUAAAAGGUGAGACAACUAGCUCUGUUAGCACGACAAAUUUACACGUGUCAAAUUAACUAUAUAUUAUAAUAUAGUUCAACCCCAUUUCAACCCUGGUUGAACCUCUAAUCCUUAGACUCUUUGGUGGUUCGAUGGCUGGGUUAGUUCAAGGAUCUUGAAGUGGGUGGACUUUCUUUUGCCCUUCCCACCACCCUUAACUCAUUUGCGUACUUCAUUUGGGAUUUUAUUUGAUUCUUCAUUUAAGAGUUCUAAGCAUGAAUAUCGAUAAUGUGAGUUUAAGUCUCCUGAAGUUUGAGAACUUGAAUUUGACGAAGAUAGGUUAUAGGAAGAUAGGAGUGUACGGAAUUUGUGGUGGCUAGUUAUUACAAGAAUGUUGGUUGGGUUGUUGGAAUGUUGAGAGAGGAUAGUUAGGUAGGUUUUGGCUGUAGGGGAGGAUUAGUUUGAGCUUGAACAGGAGUGGGUUUGUUGGGAUUGAUAGUAAAUAAUUAAAGAUCAUAUAAGGUGGGAUAGUUUGCUAGUGGUGGACUUGAAGUUAGGGUUUUAGAAGAGGAAUAAGUUGGGUUCUUAUAAUAGUAGCUAUAAGUUUGCUGACUAUAAAUAAAUGGUUGGUGAAAGCUUCAGUUGGAUUUUGAAUAUGAAAAUUGAAAUUGUGGGAGAAUAGAGUGGGCAAUUGAAUCUUUUGAAAAAUUGGUGGGGAGAGCGAAUCUCAUCAAAUGAAACUGUUGGCUUGAAGGAUAGAAACAAUGUUAGCAUUCACCUUUGUGAUUACAUAAGUAACCAAGAAAAAAAAUGCACCGUAAGUUUAGUGGGCUUAGCUUGUGGGUUGCAGUAGAUAAAUUCGGGAAGCCUAGUGAACCAAAAACUGGUUAGUUAUUCAAUAAUUGAGGCAAAUUUCGGUGCACAAAUCGAACAGGAUUUUAAAAAUAUAUAUCAGUUUAUGACAAAAUAUUAACUAAAUGAGGAGUAUAUAACAGUUCAGUCCAAAUAUUAUAUGGCAUGUGAGCAUGGAGUAGGAGAGUUCAAAUCAUGUUUGUCGAAUGCUAACGUUUCCUCUAUGUUGUGCAAUUAUUUUGCGGUGUGUUGCAACAAGACUAAAUGAUGGACCUCUUCAUGUGAAAAUACAGAUUGAAAUCUUCUAUUCACAAAUUCACCUUCAUGGUCACUUUGGAAAUCAUGAAUAUUUAGUAUCAAAAAUACUAUAUUGUAGAAAAUUAAAAAUUUUUAAUUUUUCAUGCACUUUAUAUUUCUUAUAGCAAGAUCCAAGAAAAUUUUCAAACAUAAUUAAUGAAAAUGACAAAUUAUUUGAAUCCAGAAUGAGAUAAGAUUAAAAACAUAACACGAAUAAAAGGUUGAUAGAUUUGUGGUACAUAGGCAUAUAGAUAAAGCAGUUACAAAUAAAUUUUGCUCUAAGGUAAGGAUUAAAGUGAAACUGUGACUAAAGUUUGAAACCUUAAAUGGUCAACUUAAAAGCUAACCAACCAAAAUAAAAGUUGAUUAAAAAAAAAGACUAAAAGUUCAAGGGCUAGUGGUGAAAUUUAUCCAAUUCUUUAACCUGUAGUAUCUCCAUUUGAGAACACUCCAGGGCAUUCUUUGGGGUACAUCAACCAAAAUUGGAUUCAUAUCAUUUCUUGCGUCAAAGCUGCUGUUCCUGCAAUCUCGCACAGUAUCCAAACUAACCCAAAACUAUAAUCCUUGUUUCUUCUCUUUCACCACUCGACACUUGUCCGCUAUAUUCCUCUCUCUCUUCCUCUCUUCUCUCUGUUGAUUGUAAUCCUCGUUUGUUCUCUCUAGCUUUAUCUCUCCCGACAUAUCCUAUUAUCCUUUCUCUCUCCUCCACGAGCUAGUUAUCUGUAAAGUGGAUGUUGAUCUCUAACUAUUAAUUUCUAAUUAUAGUAAAAAUGUUGAAGGAAAGGAGGAGGAGGUGGUGCUCCAACCUUGCCACCAUUGAUUCUUCAACUUCUCCCCCUUUAUUGUAAAGAGAGAGAGUGCUUUUUUUUUUCUUUUUAUUUUUGUAUGUUUGCAUGCAUGUGCUGUGGGCAGAGAGGAGGGUUGAUGCUUAAUGUUAUAAAUAUAAAAUCAAAUGUGAUAGAUGUGAUCUACACCAUCUAAAGAUAGUGUAAUUGGUCAAAAUUAUCAGCCCAAGCCCUGGUAGAACAUGUAGAACCAUGCUGAAAAUAGCGAGGAAACCUUUUUUAAGGUUUGCAAGUGAAGCUUUGAGCCUUUCACUGCAUUAGACUUGUUGAUACUUGAUCAAGAAAAAGUGAUUUGAGCACUCUUGCUUGGAAUCAGACUUCCAUCUUUUCCCAACCCCUAUCUCCAAUGCUUCACGAGAAAUAGAAGCAGUAGAUUGACUCAUUAUAGUUUGAAGGGGAUCAAACAAGAGAGUAUGAUUGAUCUGUAAGAAUACUAUGAUUUAGAAAAGUGAAUCGGACUGACCGGUCAAACUGGGUUAAUGGGGAAUCGAUUUGACAGCUGGUUUAGUUCAAUUUUAAGAACCUAUUUUAGCAUAUAACCAAAUCAAACAGGUCCAAACCACUUGAAUUGGCCGGUUAACUACAAACCUGUUGGUUCAAGCAACCUGGUUUGGUAUAUGGUUAAGAAUAAAAAUUUUAUUUGUUUCAAGGAAGGUUCGAACCUGCAUCCAAACCAAAGGCAAUUAAUAGAUUAACUACUGGACUAAGAAACUACCGGACUAAGAUAUGCUUUCUUAUAACAAGUGGAAAUUCUAUAUAACAUAUUAAUCGAGUUAAUUUUGUUAGAAAAUAUAUUUGUAAUCAUAUUAUAUAUUUAUUUGUUUAUUUACAUGUAUUAUUUAUUUAUUUUUAUAUUUAUAUAUUUUUAUAUUUUGACCCUACUUCAACGUCGGUUAUCAGUUUGAUGGCCGGUUCGGUUCUCAAAACAUUGAUAAAUACAAUCAAAUUAAUGGCAAGCCUUUGGUUACUAAUUCGCAAAACACCUUCAUAUUUUGAAUUGGAACAUGCGAUUUGAUUCAUAGAUGUUAUGACAAAAGCAGAAAAGAUCUAGUUAGUAGGGCACGAAAAUAUUAAAAGAGAAUCGAGAAAGAGAAGGAAAAUAAAGCAUACAAAUAUUUACGUAGUUCGGCCGCUAGGCUCUCUGUCCGUAGGCUACGAUGGUGCGAAGAAUUUCAUUAUAAUCAAAGCGGAGUACAUAAAACGUCUCUCUCACAAACUUUAGCCCCAAAAUGCACCCCAUAUUCUUGCCCAUACGCCGGGCCAAAUCGGGAGAAUAAAGUGUAUAUUUAUAUUAGAAAAAAAAAAAAACCCAAUAAGACUAUAAAUAAUUUCAAUAAGAUUAAGCAUAAUUUAAACUUAAUGGGGUAACCAAAACAAAAUAGGGGCAAAUCUUGCGGUUCAAAAAUUCGAGACAUAUCUAACAAUCUUUACCUUGCUUGAAUUCUCCGUUUUCUCCACCAAAAGUCCCAAAGGCUCCUUAAAUGCUGCUGCACAUUUAAACCAAGCCUGUGGAAUAUUAACUUUGGUCAUCAAAAUAGGCUUAAUAAGCAAACUGGCAGUUCUAAAGUGUCAAUCUUUUCAUUUUCCAGUAAUGCUUCUUGCAAUAUCUGUUGCAUUAGAAUGAUAUCUUGUCGAAGAGCGAAACUACUGAAUCGAUCAAGCAUCUCGGUCUCAAAUUUUGUCAACAUCUUGAAUACCCAAACGAAACGGUUGGCUUCGAUACCGGUUUGUUAUUACAAAACCAAAAAAGAUAUAGUUCAUCGGGCACAAAAAUACCAAAAGAGAAUCGAAAAAAGAGAAGAAAAAUAAAAUACACAAAUAUUUACGUGGUUAGACCACUCCCCUACGCCCAAGCGAAGAUGCAGCAGAGACUUUCAUUAUAAUCGAAGUGGAGUACAAAGAUGCCUUCCUCACAAAACCCUAGCCUCAAAAUACACUCCAUAUUCUUGCACAUCCGCCAUACCAAAUCAAUGGAAUAAAGGGUUUAUUUAUAUUAGAAACUAAAGCCCAGUAAGACUAGGAAUAAUUUCAAUAAGACUAGGCAUGAUCUAAACUUUAAUGGGAUAACCAAAACAGAAUAAGAUUAGGAAACCUUGUGGUUCCAGAAUUUGAGACAUAUCUAACUAAAGAUCAUGAGUGAAUUGGAACGGCAAAAUGAGCAAUCCCAUGCUAACCUGUUUACUCUAUUCCGGAACCAUAUCGAGAGCAAUAUAUACACUUAUAUUUAUGUAUAUUCAUGUAUAUGUAUGCAUAUGUUUUGUGUGUAUCAAAUGCAUGUUUUCUAUUCCUAUAAAUGCAUGUCAAUGUAGACUACACCCAUUGUACCAUGUUUUAGAGUAAUGAAGAAGACAUCGUCAUAGCACUCAGGAAAGAAGGUUUUAUAGCCUGUGCUGUGAUACCAUAAUGAUCGUGAGAAGCUUAUCUAGUUUGGGUGGUGUAAUAUUAAUAGUUGAAUAAAUUAUUCAAAGUAGAUACAAGACUAAUUAUUAAUGAGUUCUAGGUGUACAAAGGCAAUCAAUACACUAGCACAUUUAGCACCAAUAUUUGGGACAUGGAAUGAAGCUCUAUAUUCGGAUGGAAGAAAUCAUGAAUGAGAGAAAGUAUAUUAACAAAACGCCUAUAAGUGAAGAAGCCAAUAGGGAACUAAAGCCCUUGUAAUGUGCACUGUGGUUGGCGCUCCGAACUGCAAAUGUGGUUGGCUAAUCUCAUAUGCAGUGAUUUAAAACCCCAAACCAUUUACUAUCCUGAAAUAUUGCUGGGUCACAAGUCACGGGUCAAUGGUCAUUGGUUCAACUAGUGGUUCAGCUACUGGAUUGAAUGAUGUCAGCAUGACAUUAUAAAUAUUUAAUUAUUAUUUUUUCAUACUAGAUAUAUAAAAAAUAUACUAAGUAUAGUAUUCUGUAUUAUUUUAAAAUAUUAUUGUAUUAUAUAUAAUUAAAAAUGUAUCCAAAGUGUAGAUUAUUAAAAAAACUAAUGCAUGUUUUUAAUUAAUUAUUGAAAUAAAAAUAAAAAGAAACCCAGCUAGUUUUUGUAAAAUUGGGCCAGUUCACUGGUUGAGCCACUGGUCUGAACAGGUCUAAAUGGAUUUUAAACUAGUUCAUUUUAUGGGUUGAACCAAACUAGUUGGGCACUAGGUCAUGGUCCAGCCGGUCCGACUGGCCAGGUCAACCCGGGUUUUAAAACAUUGGUCAUAUGUUGAUGUUGGGAAUACUGCAUUUUUAUUCAUUGACUUGUGAAGUCUCGUGAUAUGGAACUACCUAAGAAAUUGGAUUUGCUGCUGAUCUAUAUCUGAGAGAUAAAGCAGUCUCUCUCUAGGGAAAUUCUGCAUUUGCAUAUUUAGCAAAAAUCUAAGAUAGUUGCAUAGGUUUUUGAGUUAUUUGUUAGGGCUAAGCUUUUUGCUUGGUUCUACUUGAGAACACCUUGAUUUUGCAGAACAUCAUAAUCCCAUGCUUCUGUAGUUAAAUUUUACAUCUCCUUAGUAGCCUUCCUUACUUCUACCUCUGAAUGAAACUAUUUAUGCCUUCUUUUCAGGACACCUUUGACAUUGAUUUGCUGUGGGAAAUGCAGCUUCCAUGGUGAAUAAAGUUUCCUGCAACGAGGAUAUGCUAGAUUCGGCAUUCCAGCCACUCACAUCAGAGACUCUGAUCGAGGCAAUUCUCAUACUUACAUCUAUGGCUAGAAUUUUGUUUAAAUUUUUAUUUUGUUAUUUGAGUUUCUUUUUUUAUUAUGAUGAUGUGCAGGUUACAAUUGAAAUUCCAUUUGCAUUUCGAGCAAUACCAGUGGAAGUGAUUGAAUCAACUGGUAGGCAGGUCCUUGAGCAGCUAUUGAGAAUAAUGCUUCCGCGAUUUCUUAAGCAGGUAAUAUCAAGUUUCUUUACUACAGGCUCAAGUAUAUACUUUGCUUUUAAAUGAAAGCAGAACAUUGUGCAACACAGGCUAUAAAUGGAGCCAUUGAUUCCAUAUAUCAAACUCUUUAUCACAAGAAAGGGAGAAAAUUAAAUAAUGUUAAAUUUGUGGUUUACUCGGAAACUAUUCUUGGAGUAUCUGUGGUUGUUUAAAUUUUGUGAGUAGUAUGAAGUACCUUUCUUGUUAUCAGCAGGACCAGAUAUACUCAAAUAAGAAAAUAAAUGUUAUCAUGUAAAGUGCUGAGGUUACCGAGAUGAGGCCACCUAGAUAAAUUACUUUUUGGGGUAUCAAUAACUAACGGCAUAACACCCUGUAAUAACUUCCAAACUGCACCUUGGUCAGCAGAAUCUUUUUUUUUUCUUUAAAUUUUCUUUAAAUUUUUUUUCUUUCAUGUUCAUGUUUGUUGACCCUGUCUUCCUUUUUAUAUAUAGUGUAUUUUGUUUUCAUCCACGACCCACUGCAGUCGGGUUUUUGUUGUGACUGCUUUCUUGGCUUUUGUUGCAUGUUAACCACACGAAAAUAGUAAUUUCACUGUGGAAACCAACAAACAGGGUUGUUUCUGUUAAGUUGGUUACUAGGCAAGGGCGGUCACUUAUCUCUCUAGCUAUGAUGUUCAAAUUUUGGAAUUGGGCACCAUAGCAUACUUGUUUAAAUUAAACAGAAAACUACUCAAAAUCUCAUCGAAUGCACGAUGUGCGUCAAUGUUUUCUAAUUCAACUCCUGUGCUAGAGACCUGUAUAUAUGUUCCUUCCAAGAAAAAAGUUCACGGUUUAUUUUUUCUAGGAGUGAUUGUAGGCAGGAUUCCCUUGACUAUGUGCAUCCUGCAUUGUAAAUUUUAUGGUGAUGUACAUCAUUGAACUCUCUUCGAAAUCCUGAGCUAUGUUUUGCUCUUAUGUAACCAAAAUCUUUUCUGUUCUUAUUAGAGCCACAAAGUAUCGUUGUGGUAGCCAAACCACUUAGACAUAUUCUGUAGAUAAGACAUUUGAAUUUGACUCUGCAUGUGGGAAUAUUCGGAGCAUUUUUGUCGGUGCUCUUUAAAUUACGUUCUUUGUUUCAGCUAGUAAAGGACUACCAAGCAUGGGCUUCGGGUGAUACCUCGAGGCAGCCACUCGGCACCGGUGAAAUUUGAAGCAAAAGGCGCUCAGAGAACUCUGCUCUGUAAGCCUCCACCUCUGCUCCUGGUUUCUUUGACUUUGUUAAAUUAUUCAUGUUUAUGUUAAUUAUGUAGUGCUCAGGUAUUUGCUUCUUAAGUAGUGUACAACAAAAACUGAAAUUUGAUGAACAAUUUGUAUUCCUAUGUUCGUCUUCUUUUUCUUCAUUUUUCUUUUUUUCCUGUAUGAACAGUUUUUAGAAUCUCAGGAAUCAAAGCUAUGGUGAUUGUCAUCUACUUGUAAUUCGAAUUAGCCAUAUAAAAAUUGUCAUCCACUAGUAAUCAAACCUAUGAAAAUUGAAUUGGUUAUCACAUAACAAAAUUAUUUUGUGUGGUACAUUGUUCUCAUUUUGAAAAUUGUUAUUAUCAAUGCCAUUUAAAUCUUUUUUUAUCAUAUUUUGAACUUUAAGCCACAUAUAGAAUCUUUCCUGUAACUAAAUGUUGAAGAUUCUCUUUAUUCAUAUGGGCUAUGUUUCUCAUUAAUUCAGUAUUUGUUUGUCUCUUUUUCUUUGCACCUUACUAUAUGUAAAAUAACGCCUGUUUUGUGAUUAUGUCAUGUACACCGCUUGUGGUUUUUUUUUUUUUUUUUUGUAUAAUUUUCUGGGAAAAAUGUACAAACACGCCUAAACUUUAGCUCUUUUACAAAAAUAUGCAUUUGAACUUUCAAUUUUGAUAAUUACUUUCUCUGAGCUUUAUCAAAUAGUUUAAUAGGUUACUCUCCUCCAUCGAAAUUAUUAUUAGACUGCUGCUUUUAUACAUUAGAAUAGUUUAUGUUUUGAAUUUUAUAAGAUUAUGUGUAAGAUAUACAAUCAAAGCGGUUGUAUUAUUAAAAAUUUCAAUGAAAAUUGAACUAUAUAAUAAAAUUUAGUUGCUAAAAUUAAAGUUCAAAUAUUUAUUUACAAAAGAACUUAGCGGUUCUCUAUCACAUUUUGUCGGAUCGUUGACGCUAGCUAUUAAUCUCAAAAGCUCAAGCUGUUAGAAAUAUACAAUAAAUUCACUUAAAGUGUACAGAUACAGCGUCCAUGAGUCUCAAUUGUGAUUCGGUCGAACCGGCUUCAGGCCACUUUGAUGAUGACUCUGCCCAUUUAGCCUCACACCAUUUUGAACAUGAUUCGGUCUAACAUGACCUCCUGUCACAGGGCAGAAUGCUGGCUUAUUUAAGCCAACAUAUUUUCUAUUUCUUUUCUUUUUUUUUGGGAGGGGUUUUGUCGGCAUGAAUGGCACGUGGAUAAUUAGAAUAAGUAAUUAAUAUCUGUAUUCAGUGUAUCCGUACAUAUCGUGCACUACUUUUUCUUUCCCAUAAGAGAAAAAAAAUAUUGUAGGGCGAAAAAAAAAAGNAUCCAAACUAUAAACCCACGCGGCCACCAAUAUAAAACCGAACAGCAUAAGCAUCACGUCAACCGAUUUUCCCAUCAGAAAACCAUUAAAAAAAGCGAUCCAAGAACAGGAAAAAUAGAAGCGAUCUAUUACCAACAAAUCCCCCCGCCUCCAAAUCACUGUAUAGCGAUCAAAUCCCUCCACACAGAGGGAGAAACCGAAUCAGCGAAAUCGGUUCUGCUACCCCGAAACCGAUUACGCGUCGCGGGAACGGUUUAAAAAUGGGGGGUUUCGAAGGGAAAGAGCAGGGUUUCGAUGGAGCGGCCCCUUCGAUCCCCCAAAACACGAUCGCGAACUUUAGAACACCUAAAAGAAAAAAUUGCAACAAUUGAUUCCCGUGUGAUAUCAACCUAGGAUUUUUUUUUUUUUUUUUUUUUUUUUUUUUGGGGGGGGGGGGGGGGGGUUGGAAGAAAGUGGACAAAGUUGUCAUUCUACGGUUUGAGGGUUAACGUGAUCUGGACGUGAGAAGUGGGCAUUGUUAGCUAAAGUUCCUUUUUGAAGUUAAAAGAGAUCAUUUGGGGGACUGAAUCAUAAGAUUGUGAAAAUAUACUAGUCAACGAAAUUGUAGAUUGUUGACAAAUAGAAAGGAGGUGAUACUGAAACGUGCAGGUGGAGGCGCUUGGAAUCAUAGUUGUCCAAUCUGAUUGUUGAUCACCAAUUUUCCUCCGACACCUCUCAUUUCCGAAAGUUCCCUCUGACGGAAGGUGCACUAACAAAAUAGAAAUAAAAAAAGCUCUGUACUCAGAUCUCGGAAUGUCAAUGAGCCGAACACGAGCAAGUUGGAAUUAGUUCAUGUUCGUGUUCGUUUGUUUAUUAAAUGAGACUAAUUAAUAUGAGUUAGCUCGUUAAAAUAUUGAGUUGAAAAAUUCAGCGCGUAUUCGGCUCAUUAAUAAUACGAGAUGGCUCGCGAACAGCAAUGCGAUUCAGCUGCAUUUGUUCCAGUGCUUUAAUUUAAUGGUAGUGUGGGGUGUAGGCUAGAAGCUUCUGUAUUUGGAGGAAAAACUUUUAUUAAUAAACAGCUGGUGUUGUAUAGGGAGGGUCAAUACAGUGGUCCGGGGUUUGAUCCUCGGGUGUGCGUUUUUUCGGAAAUUUAGUUCCCAACCUUCCUUCGGGCUGGGAGAUUUUUUUUGCGUGUGUGUAGGGUAAGGGUGAAAACCGUCGGAAAUGGUUAGAUUUUAAUAAAAUUAUAUUCACGUCCAUAUUUUUCUUCAGAAAUGGAUAUAUGUUAUAUGCUAAAUUUUUAUUAUCAUAUUCGUUUGUUGGUUGCCGAUUGUCCCGACCCUUGACUCAAUCAAAGAUCUUUCUCGGAAAGUGCGUCGGGGUGAGGAACGGCUGCGGAUAGUGACCCUCGAAGUUUGCGCUUUCGACAGAUCAAGCGAUUCGGCUGACGAGGGAUCGAGCCAGCUGGGUCCGAAAAUUUUCACUGUAGAAUCGGUUUGGCUGGAGGAGCCUAAUAUAUGAACUGUGCAGGGAUCAAUGUUGGCAGAAGAGCCGAAUGGAAGAAGUACAGUAUAACUGGUCAGCUGAAAGAGCCGAAUAAAUAAAAUACACAAUGACUGGUCGGCUGAAAGAGCCGAAUGCCUAAAUAUAUAUAUAUAUAUAUAUAUUAAUAAAACAGAGUGUACCCGAAGGGCAUACAGACUCUGCAAAUAUGUAGUUUACAACAGAGUGAUGCUCGUGGGGCAGAUAGACUCUGCAAAUGUAGUCUACAACGGAGUGAUGUCCGUGGGGCAGACAGACUCCAUGGUUCUACUUAGCGAACUACUCCUAGGAAAGCAGUAAAUGCGGAAAAGAAAAAGAUUAUAUUUAGACUACUCAUAGAAAAGCGAUAAAAUUGCGAGGAAAUAAGGGUGAUCUUUUGUUCACGGGGAAAAGACUCUUAUUACAGGCUUUGAAGUUACUAUUUAUAGUGAUGUCUUCUCAGCCCACAUUAUUGGUCGGUUGAAAAUAGUGGGGGGAGUGGUUGUAACCAUGAUCGUGGAAGUUACGCCCACUCCUCAUGGAAGUUACGCUCCAUUGUGGAAGUUAUGCCCACUUCUCAACCGUUCCCGCCUAAAACCUUCAGGCGCCUUAUUGCCGACUCCUGGUGUACCACAUGUCCUUAUUGGCUCAUAUGUGGAUUAGGUCGCUAUGUUAAUUUCAAUUUUGGCAUCAACACCGUUAAAAGUAUAUAUAUAUAUAAAAUUGAGCUUCUAUGUUUUUAAAAGUACCAAGUUAUUGGUGUUUAUAAAUUUUUGACCAUUAGAUUAAGAAAUGUGCGAUUAGAAUGAUGUGGGACCCCUAGGGUUGAGUGAGUGGUUGGUUGAAUACUAUAAUCUAACGUUUUGCUAUCAAGUUAUGAGUACCAAGUUCUACUGUUUGCAAAUAUAUCCCUGCCGUUAGAAUCCGUUAGAAAAGUUUAGUUGACCAUAUGUUAAAUAUUUUAUCCGGAUUAAUUUUUGACAUUUUUACCCCUCUUAUAUUAUUAUACUAUUAUAACUUUUGGAGGGAUAUAUUUGUGAUAUUAAAAUUGAAAAUAUAAAUAAUUUUCUAACGGUUCUCUAACUGUAACUGACCAAAGGGACAUAUCUGAAAAUAUUAGGACUUUUGUAGGAAUAACUUAUGAAAGUUAAACUUUAUACAGAUAUAUUUGUAAUUCACUAUGUUUGCGGGAACCUGUAUGCAAUUAACCCUAUAUAUAUAUAUAUAUAUAUAUAUACGGAGCCCUCCGUGCUUCCAUAAGUAUCCUAGCAGCACUACUCUUCUCUCUCUCUCCUCUCUCUCUCCUCUCCUCUCUCUCUCUACUAUAUAUAUUAUAUAUAGAUAUAUAAAUAUAGCAGGAAAGGAGACGUAUCGUGUUCAAUAUUCAUAUAUUUAUAUUUUUAUUCAAUAGAAGAGAUAUUUAACAAUAGAGUUCAGUGCAAUUUUAACAUGAAACAUAUAUGAAUCAAGAAAAAUCAUACAGUAGAAAAUCACAUUAAAUCCUCUCUUACCAAUAUAAAUUAAAUUCCCUCUUUUAUUUCCUAAGACUGAAAAUAAUUGAAUACAGCGUUGAACAUUUUUUAAGAAAAUAUUUGCAUUCGAUAUAUAGUAGUACUAAUUAUUAAAUAGCUAUAUACUAAAGGUUUUCCGAUGCAAAAUCGAUAUGAAUAUACACUACGAUUGCGAAAUUUGACAUCCAUUAUUGAAUCAUAUCGAAUCAAUAUCGAAUUCGAUUGGAGUUUAUCCUCCACAGUACUAGCUUCCACCCCUGGUGUAAGGCUGGCAAAUUGAGCGAUCGGCUCGAUUCGACUCCGCUCACUCGAUAUUUGCUCGCUCCGAGCAUAUCGACUCGAAAUUAAAUCAGCCGAUCGCUUUAACAAAAAAAAAGGUCGAAAUUCAUUUCAUGACGGCGUGAGUCUCGAGUAUACCGGACUCAUCAUCGAAUUAGGUCUUGAAACUCGAAAACUCGAAAUAUAUAUACUAUAUAUAGUAUAUAUAAGUACAAUAUAUACGGUAAUAAUAAGUGAUAAAUAUAUAUAGGGAGGAUAUCAUACACUAAGUAAAAACAGAGAUGCUACGCCAGGAAAGUAUAGAGAACUGGUGCUUUCAAUUUUGAUUCUCUAACAACAUCCCCUUAAUUAUUUUUUUUGAAUUAAUACUAUCUAUUAUCUUGUAAGAGGACCGCACUCAAUCCCUAGGGAUAUUAUUUAUCAGAGGGACCGCCAUCAUAACCCAGACCAUAAAUAAUUCUUAAUCAAAUGCAAAAUAUUCGAUGAAACAUCAUCCUCUAUUAUUUUCGAUAGCAUGAUAGUUCUACAACUAUAUAUAUAUAUAUUAUAUAAAGUAUAUAUAUAUAUAUAAUAGUAUAUAUAAUAUAUAUACUAAUAAUAUAUAUAAAUGUUAAUCUAAGUAUUAUAUCGAGGCUGAUUAAUAAAUCUAAGUUGUAGAAAUAAAAUGCCAUAUUAUUGCUCCAUAGGAAAAACAAACCGCACAUAACAAAGCUAACGAACAGCAAAGACUUUCACGUAUAAUUAGACAUUUUUUCCUUUCUUUCCUUUCUUUCACAGAACUCUAAAAUUUCAAUAUAUUUUCUCUCUAUUCUCUUUUUCCGCUCUCACCCUAAGCGGCCACAGCCGGAACUCUCAACAAGUUACGCAAGUAAAGUAUAUCUCCGUUGCCUACCUUGCUAUUAAUUGUAUGCUUGAGAAAAUAUACAGAAUAUUUUUAAAGUAAAAAAUUAUUAUUCAUAUAAAAUUUUAAUUUUUGUUAUAUAUGAUUGGAUAGUUUAAUCCAAUAUUUAUCUAUAUAAUUUAUUUAUUUUUGACUGUAUAAAUGAAAAUGAAUAAUAUGAAGAUUGAAGGCAGAAGAAAAGACAUGUGAGGCUGAAAAGAUUAGAUAUUCAACUCAUAAAUUAUUUUUUUCAUAUUAUAAUACUGUAUUUUAUAUAAUUAUUUUGUACUUUGAACUAUUAGAUAUAUUUUUGUAUCAAAUUAUAAAUAAUGUUCUAUACAAAUUAAACUAUUGAUCGUAUGAUGUUGAGAAUUUCAAGCGGCUCGUUUAGGGCUCGAGCUCGCUCGACUCGAAAUUAGGCUCGCUCGAGCUCGGCUCGAAUUAAUUUCAGUCUAAGCUUGAGCUUAAAUUUAAGCUCGAAAUUAAUUUCAAGCCGAAUUUGAGCCGAGGUAAGCUCGCUCGAGCUCGGCUUGUUUCCACCCCUACAAGUGUGGGGUGUGGUAGGUGGCGGUUCGGAAGAUGUAACUCUUUCACUUUAUAGAUUGAAUUUCAAAAAAAAUCAGUAAAUUAUCCACUUUGUUCUUAUUUUAGAAAUAAAUAUAAUUAAAAAUACGAAUCAACUGGAGAACAAAUUUUUUCCUUGAACUUUAGCCACUUUCUCAAUUACUCUCUAGAAUUAAAAAUUACAUCAAUUACUAUCCUAUAUUUUGCUACCAUAUCAAAUAAAUCUAAAAUUUUAAAAAAUGGAUAAAUUAGGUUCUAAUAUUUCACUAAAAGGAGUUAGUAUAUCACAUUAUUCCAUAUUUCAACGUCUAUUUAAUUUAUAAUUUAAAAAAUAAAUAAAAAAAGAUAAAUUAGAUAUCUUAUUUUAUUAAUAUUAUCAAAAUUGAUAGGUUAUUGAGCAAUUUAUUCAAUUUAUAUAAUUCUAUACUGAUAAGUUACUUAUCUCCACAUCUUUUUUAAUAAAAUUUUAUAGCUAUGAUCCUAAAUAGUCGGAUCUAUUUAAGAUAAUGGUAAAGUAUAAGGGAGUGAUUGAUGUAAAUUUUAAUUUACGAGGAUAAUUAAGAGUAGUAGUGAAGUACAAAGAGCUUUUUACUAGGUUUUUUUUUUAUUUUUUUUUAUUUUUAAGAACUUUUCUUUAGGGGCCAUCAUGCACGACAUAAACUCUAGUAUAUUUUGUUUCUUCGUAACUAAUUUUUCGAUUGAAAAUAGCGCUAUAUUUCAAUUAUAUUAAAUCUAAAUUUUUAAAAUAUAAAUUCAAAACCAUGUUUUAAAUAAUUUGAAAGCUUCCUCUCAUAUGAAAAUGACAAGUUAUUUGUGGAUGGAGAAGAAAGGUAGAGAGAAAAAAGAAAACAAAGAGAAAAGAGAGAUUUAGAUCAUAUAAUGAAAAUAAGUUUACUUAAAUAUUCACGUAUUAAAACUCCACGAAAUUCCUCUUUGGAGUACUUGGUAACCGAUACUUCUUUCAGUUUGACCUGCUAUUGCAGAUCAUAGCAGGUCACAACUUAAAAAAAAAUUAAAUUUGAGCCGUAGAGUAGAAACAAAUGAACGACAUUAAAAAAUAACAAGUAUAGAGCAUUACUCUUUAAAAUAAAGCUUGCUCAAAAAGUCAGGAAGUGCUGGUGUAAUUUAUCUGAAAAUAUAUAUAUAAUGAAAAGUAUAGAAAACCAAACCGAGCCUGGUUACUAUGGAAUUUAUUUUAACGACCGAUUUGGUUUAGUGCUAAAAAUGUGUUACAUGGUAUAACCAGAUCGAAUCAGUUUGAACAAUCUGAACCAACUAGUUUAUAACGAAUCACUAAAUUGGGCAAUUCAAGCCUCUUUGAUACAUGAUAUAAAAAGUGUAAAAGCAAGAGACAUUUAUUAUCGGUGUGACGAUGAAGCCAAAAUACUUACCCAACUGCGUGUAUGGAAUAAUUCUAUGUAAUAUACUUAAAUAAGUUUAAAUUAUUUUAAAAAAUAUAUUUCUAAAACUUCGACUAUCUUAGUUAUACUGCAUGUACACCCCGCGUACAUACGGUAUAAAUGUCACACCCUUGGAAUCCUAGAAUUUGAAAUAAUAUUAAAAUUUUAGAGUAAAAAAUAAUAAUAAGAUUAGUAAAGAAAUUUAAUUUCAUCGUGAAAAAAUUAGAAACAUCUGAAGUGUAAAGAUAGCACAGGUGUAUAGAUAGCGUUUGAAGGGUGAUGAAAGAUCACGCAUAGCAUAAGUGUACGGAGAGCACUUUUAUUAUUAUUAUUAUUAUUAUUAUUAUUAUUAUUAAAAUAACUGGGAAAAUUUAAAAAAAAAGGAAAAACUUAAAAAAAUCUCCCUGUAGUUUCGCAGUUUCUCACUUGAUCACUUUGUGGUUUAAAGUGUAUCAAUUUGGUGCCAUGUGGUUUUAUUUUUAUCUUUUCGGUAGCUUUUUUAUUAAUAUUUCGUUAAAUUAUAUACAAAAAACUUUAAAUACCUAUCUAGAUUUAUUGAAUAUUCACUUUAGUAUCUUUUAAUUUUAACUUUGUCACUGAUUUAAGAAAAAAAAAAUUAUAAAAUUGAUAAUAAAAAGAAAAAAAUAAAAUCAUAUGAUACUAAAUUAAUAUAUUUUAAAUUACAGGGUAUUAAAGUGAGAAAGUACGAAACUACUGAGAGGUUUUUGAAGUUUUUUAAAAAAAAAAAGAAAAAAGAAAAGACCAGAAGCAUCCGGAGAUCGAGCAUCCCAAUGAGGAUAUCCGAAGAUUCCCAACUUUAUCAACAGAAAAAUUAGGGGGAAAAAAAGAAAAAGAGAAAAGCGAGUGAAAACAGUGAAAGUUGGUGGCAUUGAAGCGGUGGUGCUCGCCGCAUAUCCGCAGAAGAUGCCGACUCUUUUCCUCUUUCUCCCUUGGAAUUGUUAUGAUGACACCACGAAAAGCUCAAAAAAGAAGGUGACCUCCCCACGACCCCGAAGAGCCACUCCUCCCAAAGAGUAAAGUGCUAGUCGGCAUGGAUCGUAUCCACGUGUCGUAUCGUAUCAGCAAAAUAUUACUACGAUAUAAUUUUUAUACCGAUGACACAAUUCAAAAUUUUCUAUCCUUAAAAUUAAUAAAUAAAUUUUUUUAAUAAAGUUUAAAAUAUUUGAUAACAAUAUAUAAUGAAUAGUUGGCAUAUUUUGCUUCUAAAAAAAAUAAAUAUUUUAUAUUAUUACGUGUCGGCACAUAUAUAUUUUUUGUGACCGAUAUGGAUCGGCACGGUUCGGCACACAAUGUGUCGUACCAUACCGAUGAGUUUCCGACACGACGUCCGUGGCAUGGCACUUAAAUUCUUACUACCACCAUCACGCAAAUUAGGUAAAAAACGUACGAAGGCCCCCUCAACUAAGGGGCAUAUUUGUAAUGCAUAGGAGGCUUUGUUUGUGAUUGUGAAAAUAUUACAUUACAUCUGAAAAACAGUAUGAUGAAAAAUAUUAUUUUACCUUUUUUAUAAAAAAAAAUAUGCUGUGUAUAAUACAACGGUUUGAUUAUAAUAUAAUUUAUUGAAAAACGUAGAAGUGUAACUCUAUAUAACUCUCAACACCUAAUGAAGCUGGAGACUUUUUCAACUUUUAUUUUUAUCCAAAUUAUUACGAAAUAUAAAUUUUAUUAAAUCUAAUAUAUCUAUUAGGUCCUAGCUGAAUGUAUUAAUAUUUUAUUUGGAAUAUUUCAUUGAUUUUCUCAAAAUACAUGUAGUAGAUUUGAUAAGCUAGGAGUGUGAUUUAAUAUCUAAAUGACUUGCCAUAUUCAGAAAAGAAGCAAUUCUGAAAUGUGGUAUUCACACCGUGUGCACCGUAAUACUCAAAAAAAAAUUAUUUUAACUUUUAAAAUUUAGAUUUUAAAAUUUAGGAUUUUAGAAUUUAGAAUCUAAGGUUUAUGGUUCAGUGUUUAGAAUUUAGGAAUUUAGAGUUUGGAGUUUUGGAGUGGUGCACUAAAUCUAAAAAUAGAAAAUAAAAUAAAAUCCUAAAAUUCUAAACUUUAAAAACUCUAACUCUAAAAGCUAAACCCAAAAAAAAUUUAAAAAAAAUUAUGAGUAUAUAUGAUGCAUUUUGGUACCAAAUAAUAAUCUUUAUUGAAUUUUGGGAGAGUAGUGCGCGCUCACGUGGACUUGGCUGUGGUGUGGUGUCCAUUAGGGAGGCAACCCCAAAUGGAUAUCUUGGGGUUAUUUUUUUAAGAAAUUUUGGUCAGUCGUAAUUUGACUUCAAAUUAUUUUUUAAUAAAAAAUAGAUUAUUUUAGAGGUGAAAUAUUUUUUCUAAUAUCAAGCAUCUUUUGAGAAAUAAAAAAAUAAAUUCUUAGCCUCGAGUCACACUAAAAUUUUUUUACACCGCAUAAACUAUUAAAUAAAAUUUCAUCAGACUAAUAUCACUAUAUUCUAAAAAGUUUUUUUUUUUUAAAAAAGAAAAGUUCAAAUACCAUCCUAUGGUUUCAUAUUUUUUUUCUUUAGUAUCCUAUAGUUUAAAGUGUAUUAAUUUAGUACCAUAUAGUUUCACACUUUUUUACUUUAGUACUCUGUGGUUUAAAGUGCAUCAAUUUAGCACCCUGUGAUUUCUUCUUUUUUUUUUUUUUCGUCGGCUCCUCUGUUAAUAUUUCAUUGAAUUAUAUAUAAAAACCUUCAGAUACCCUAUCUACAUUUAUCGAAUAUUUACUUUCGUACUUUUUAUUUUUAACUUUUUGUUACUGAUUUUUUUUUUCCUCGGUCAAUAUUUCGUUAAAUUAUAUAAAAAAAAUUUCAGAUACCUACCUAAGUUUAUCGAAUAUUCACUUUUGUACCCUUUAAUUUUAACUUUGUCGCUGAUUUAACGAAAAAAAUUAGUGAAAUAGAUAAAAAAAAGAGAAAAAUAAAACCACAGGGUACUAACUUGAUACGUACUUUAAACCACAGGAUACUAAACUGAGAAAGUGUGAAACCACAGGGGCUAACUUGAUACACUUUAAACUACAUGGUAGUAAAGUGAGAAAAUGUGAAACCACGAUGGGGUAUUUGAAGUUUACCCAAAAAAAUUUGGAGCUGAGAGGGUCAUUUCAAAAUCACCUAUAGUUAAGGGGUUUUCUAUACAUUUUUACCUACAAAAUAAAAGCACACAAUGGGGCUCUCCCGUCUCCCUCCUCUUAAUGCCCACAUGAUGUUCAUAAAAACUUGGGCAUAUGUUUUCCCCACCUCCUCCCAUUUCACAGGAAAAGAAGAGAGAGAGAGAGAGAGAGAGAGAGAGAGAGGUGGUAUCAUGUAGUUUGUCCUUUUGCUUCUGCUAAUUGCCUACAAUUGCAGUCUGGAGAAAUGGCAUAGUAAUGGUAUGAUGAGUUAAGAAAGGAGAAGCAGAAGCACUUCUGGUAGGGCAACUUGGAUCCUUUGGCAUUUCUGGCUUCCUGCAUAUACUGAAGAAGAUAUAUACAUAUAUAUAUAUAUGGUUCAUAUAUGGGCUAUUCAUACAGGAAGUUCAUGCAACAUAUUCUGUACUCUGUGUGUGGGCUUUUGUACUUAUGCUUCUUCUUCUGCUCCUUUGUUGCCUUCAAAUUAAUAAGAAUGUAGCUUUGUUGGAAGCUGUUAUAUAUUGAUAUUACUCUCUCUCUCUCUCUCUCUCUCUCUCUCUCUCUCUCUCGUUCACUCACUCACUCUCAGUGUCUAUAUUAUCAAACAAAGUUCUUGAUGCCAUAAAAAGUGUUGAGUCUUCGAUUCAAAUACUGCUUAACUGAAAAUAAUAUAUGUACGCUUUGCCUACAUGCGGUAUUAUCGUAAAAAAGAAAAAAAAAAUGUAUUUGUUGGACAAAUAAAUGAUCGUAGAGUCUCUGGUCUUGCAAUUUUGUCACGACCCGAUUCAAAAUUUCAAAGUUUAACUAAACUAUGGAUUCUAAUAUUGAAAGUUUGAUAAAGUUUGAUUGGUUUCAAAAUUAAGCCUAAAUUUAGUUCUUUUUGGACCCAAAUGAUUCUUGGUUGGGAUACCAGCUAGCUGUGAGGAUCACCGACGUUGAUCGCCUGUUGUCCCUCCGCUUCUCCCUUCUAUCUCCUCCUCUCUACUGCAAACCAUGCAUCAAGUGCCGCUUGAGCCUGAAGUUGGAGAAUCGUACGUGUUACGAGCAGUCCGUUCCUCGAUUUUCAGUAAAACCUGAGCUCAUGCUCAAACCCAGGUUUUUUGAUGUUAUAUAGACCUUGAUCUUUGGACGUUUCAGGGGGUUUAAUUAACUUGUUAGUUGAGUUUUACUUUGUCACCGUAAUUGGUAAAGUUCAAUCUCAUGCAUGCAGUCUCUGGUUACUGGUUCCACCCUUUCGAUUGACCGACAUUAAUAUUGAUAGGAACCCUAGCCUCAGGUUAAUUACCAAACACUCGAUCCCUUAUGGUCGGCCGUUCUUGAACCAAGACUCGAUCGUGGACUACAACGCAGUAAGCACUUGAAGUCUUGUUUUUGGGAUUGAUGUUAGUUGAGUUUCUUUGUUGAUAUAUUUUAGGUUCUUGAUCGAUGGAUUCCUCGAUUACUUUCGUGCCAUCUACGUGCUUUGAUAUGGACUUUGAAAAAUCGGUGAGUAGGAAUUAUCCAUCUGAAUUACACCAUUAACUUCCAUCUGAUUGUCCAUAUUUAUUUAUAUGAGUACUCUUAAGCUUGACAUCAAAUUUCUUGAAGAGAAAAGUAGAACCGGCUCCAAUAGAGCGCACCCUUUCCUCUUAUGUGUAGAAACCGAAAAUUAAAUUUCCUACAUGCCCAAAAGCGCACAACCACCGUAGAAAACAAGAAUGGAGAAAUAGAAUACUCACAAUAAUAAUCUCAAACAACUCCACAUAUAAAAUUAAACAACUUCACCAACAAUAUUCAAAACACUAUACAAUGAAAAUCGAAAAGUACUAAAUAAACCUUCAAUAAAAAACAUCUUACAAUGAAUGUUCACAAGAGAGCAGAAGGGGGAGAUUAGAGGUCACCCACCUCAAACUUAGCAAAAUCCUAACCACCUUUGGCCUCUCUUUCACACUUCUCUUGCACUUGAGAGAAACACCAAAAUGAGGAAAUUUUUGGAGCUAAAAAAAAGAAGCUCUCUUUUUCCUCUUAAC